rnacentral:lncRNA from 1 species
UUUCUAUUAUGGAUGUAGAGUAUGACUAAAUCAGUUCAAUAUAUCUUCUGUGUAAGUUUUUUAAUUGGCCUAAAAAAUUUGCGCCAGUGUCUCAUAGAUGAAUGCAUGUUUUGUGCAGAUUUCUCAUGCUAAUCCCAUUUUAAUUUCAUCUCUGUUUUCUAAUACUGCUUUUGCUCUAGAUGCUUGUUGCAUGCAUCAUAUCCCUAAUCUUAACAUUUCCCUCACGAAACAGCUCAACAAGCCCCGCCUCCCUCCCUGCUCAAAAAAUGAAUAAAUAAAUAAAUAAAUGGGGGGGGGGGGUUAUCAUGGGGCUCAUUAAUCUAGACAUUAUUUUCCCAUUUGAGCUAUUGGUCUACUUGUUAAUGUUUCCUGUACUACUUUGUGCAGCAUUGGAUCUCUCUUCUCCUAGCUGUAACAGUGAGUGGCUUGUUGGAGGCCUACACGGCACAACUUGAUAACGCAUUCAUACCACUUGUUUUCUACAGCCUUCUAUGUUUGUAAAUGCAGCUCCUACCUCAAAGAAAAGAAAAAAGAAAAAGAAAAGAAAAGAAAGAAAGAAUAGCCAAUAAGAAAUUCACCUGGAAGUUGCAUUAUAUCUGAUUGUUUCCUAUCCGCUAACACCAUUUUGUAGGCACACCUUACCCAAUUCUUAGAGAAUACAAACAUCUUGUUGUAUAGCAUAUUCAUUUAUAGUUUAGAUUGUAUCUGGAUUAGGCCUAGGAUUACCAGAGUCCAUGUUCAAUGCUGUAAAUACUGGUACUUUGGUUAUUCAUUGCACCACAAAUACAUGAUCAGAGCAGAUAAUUUUCGGUACAUGUUUUAUUUAUUGUAUCGUGUUGUAUUAAUGUAAAAGCUUAAUACAAGGUUUUAUUUUGGUUAUGUUGUAUGUGGGUCAUGUUCCUUUCCAGUGUUAGUAUGGAACCAAUGCGUGUUCUAUGGUAUUUCACUAGUAUUCUUUCGUAAUGAUCAUUGUAAAAAGAGGUAUUGCAACUCACCCCAUUUGACAGCACUUCCAGCGGGGAUGGCGGCAUAGAACAUGACAGAGAUCUAGCUAAUCAAAUCAUUCUAUGGGAGCAUCAUGUCUAAUUGUAAGGAACUGGUUUUUCGAGUCCAAAAUAAUGGUAUUUUGUUAGUCAUCACAAAUUUAAACAAAAAAGAUUUAGUAAUAGUUAUACGUUCAAUACAUUGAUUCAUACAAAAUACAUCGUGAUUUAUAGUGCAACUACAUGAUUCUUUGCAAAAGUAGGUUCCUGUGUAUUGGGUUUCCUAUACACCUUAUUGGUGUGAUGUCCCUACUGCUAAUAAUAAACGGUUUGGCAGGUUAAUAAAACAUUAACAUUAUCCCAUGUUUGAAGCCUGACAUUUGUCGUUCCUUCAUGUACCUGGUAUAAACAACUUGUAGUACAUGUAGAUGCACCAAUUCUUGCAAUCGGUCAUAAUCUUAAAUCCUGCUAUCCUCUUAAAGCAUCAUAUGUCGAGGUUAACCGUUCACUCACCCCUGCCAUCCACUUCGGAUGCCAUCAGCCAAAGCUAAUCAACCGUUUGUCCCUGUCAUUCAUUCAGAUUCCAUUAGCUGAAGCUAAUCAUUCAUUUGUCCUAGUCAUCCAUUUGGAUGCCAUUAGCCGAGGUUAAUCAUUCAUUUGUCCCGAUCAUCCAUUCGAAUGCCAUUAGCCAAAGCUAAUAAAUUAUUUAUCCCGGUCAUCUAUUUGGAUGCCUUAGCCAAAGCUAAUCAUUCCUUUGUACCAAUCAUCCCUUCGAAUGCCAAUAGUCGAAGCUAAUUAUUCAUUUGUCUCAUUCAUCCAUUCGGAUGUUAUUAGCCAAAGCUAAUAAACCAUUUGUCAACAUUUAAGCAUUUGACAAUCUGAUAUUUGUACUAACACAAUACAGUAACAUUCAUGAUAAAGUAUUUUAUUAUUCAACGUUCUGAAAAAAGGAAGGUGAAAGUCACCUACCUGCUCCACUAAUGGGUUGUUCUUGUCUUAAUGAUGGUUUGAUCCUGACCGCACCAUUUAAGACUACUAGGUUCACAAAUCAGUACAUUUGUAUCUUUGAAUCACAUUUGUCAUUAUACUUAUUUCAAGAGUUUAUAUAUUUACAUUCAAGAGUUCCACAUUUUACACCAUCAUACUAAGAAAUUAUUACUAGCAUUUAAGUCAUUUCUGCCCGAGAGGCCUAUUAUAGAAAUCGGCAGCGAAAAUUGGUUCGCUGCAGGCUACGUAAUUCAGCAGCAAAAACUAUUUCUUUGUUGCACCACAAUUCCGGCACCGAAUGCUACUUCGCUGCAGCUAAUACGUUUUGCGGCAAUGAAUGCUACUUCGCUACAAACAACUCUCAACUUCGACAGAGAAUCACAGAUUCGCUGCAAAGCACACAUUUCAACAAUGAAUGCUAAUUCGCUGCAGACAACUUGAUAUAGACAGCGGAUCAAAAACUCGCUGCAAAACACACAAUUCAGUUCUGGCAGCGAAUCACAAAUUUGUUGCAGAUAACUCAACUUCGACAGUGAAUCGUAAAUUCACUACAGAACACGCACUUCGACAACGAAUGCUAAUUUGAUGUAGACAACUCAAUUUUGGCAGCAAAUCACAAAUUCACUGCAGAACACACACUUCGAUAGCUAAUGCUAAUUCGCUGUAGAUGACUCAGUUCCGGCAGCGAAUCGCAAAUUCGUUGCAGACAACUCAAUUCCAGCAGCAAAUCACAAAUUCGUUGCAGACAACUCAACUUCGACAGCGAAUACUAAUUCGUUGUAGACAACUCAGUUUCGACAGUGAAUCACAAAUUCGCUAUAGACAACUCAACUUCGGCAGCGAAUCACAAAUUCACUACAGAACACACACUUUGAUAGCGAAUGCUAAUUCGCUGCAGACAGCUCAAUUUUGGCAGCGAAUUUCAAAUUCGCUGCAGACAAUACCACUUUGGCAGCGAAUCCCAUCUUCCCUGCAGGACACAUCAUUCGGCAGUGAAUGUUAAUUCACUGCAAACAACUCACUUUUGGUAGCGAAUUAUAAAUUCACUGUAGACAAUACAAUUUCUGCAGUGAAUCUCAAAUUCAUUGCAGAACACACAAUUCGACAACGAAUGUUAACUCACUGCAAUCAACUUAAUUUCGGCAAUGAAUUACAAAUUCGCUGCAACACACACGCAUGCAUUUUCAAUUUCAGCACAUAAUAUAUCAUCAAAUCCCAGCAGGGUUACAUGGUUUUAACAUGAACGCACACAUGCAUUCUCAAUUCCAGCACAUAAUAUAUCAUCAAAUCCCAGUAGUGUUACAUGGUUUUAACAUGAACAGAGACAUGCAUUUUUAAUUCCAACACGAUAUAUAUCAUUAAAUCCCAGCAAGUUUCAUGAUUUUAACAUGAACACACACAUGCAUUUUCAAUUCCAACACACAUCUGUCAUCAAAUCCCAGCAAAGUCACAUGAUUUUAACAUGAACAAAACAUGCAUCGUCUUACACAAUGCAUUUCGGCCAGUCCUAUUGUUAUGGUCGGCCCUCUACUAAGUUUUAUUCUUUCCAUUUUAUUCAUUAUCCUUAGUUAGAUGCUCUGGAAUUUGGUCUCAUUUCGUCUUUGAUGCUUGUCCUCUUAGUUGUUUUCAGUUUCCCUUACAAUUAGCCUAGGGGGUUUAGGUCCAUUUUUCUUAGGGAUCCUUCAUCAUUUUCAGUUCUGGGUUUGAAGAACAAGGGGGCAAAAGGAGACUACAUGACCCAUACCUUUCAACUCUAAGUAGGUCUAGAUAAUGUAGUAGUAUUUCUCCUCCAUCUUUCUCCUGUUUUUUCCCUUCUUCUUCCUCUCUCGGUUCUCUUUUUCUUUUUCUAUGUUUUUUAUUAGUUUCUUCCCACUCGUUCCAGCCCCCUUUCCUUCACCCUAAACAGCUGCUCAGCCUUCAUUCACGAUCUCAACUCUCUCUCACUGUUCAAGAGGUAUUCUUUACUAGUUUUGGUUUGAAUUUUUUUGGGAAGAAGGUGCAAAAGAGAGACAUGCAGCUGCAGUAGCCAGACUUUGGGAAGAGGAAGGGUCACCUUCUCUCUCUCUCUCUCUCUCUCUCUCUCUCUCCUUGCAUUUAUAAUUCACAUAAAUUGAGGUGGGGUGUUUGGGGUUGGGUUAAAGGUGUUCUUGUCCGUGUUUUGGUCUGUCUAAAACUAAAUUUACCCCUCCCUCCCAGCUCCUUUAGAUAGUCCAAUUUGUUACCCUAACUUUUAAUAACAUUGCGUCGCUGCUGAUUCAGAAAUCAGCAGCGAUGGUGGAGUCAUCAAUUAUGUGUGUGUGUGUGUGUGUUUACACUAAUAUUCUUGUAGGAGGCUUCAAUUCAUACAAGCAUGUUGUGGUGCACAAAGUUUUUUCAUGUGCUCAAUGGUAAGCAAGCCUAUAUGCUCACGCGCGCUUGAGUGCGAGGGUUUUUUAGAGCAGAUCAAACAUUGGUUAGGAAAGUGGUUUAAAUAAUGAGAGUUAGUAUUGUGAUUCGUAGAAAUAAUGGUUUACUAAUUGAGAUAAAUGGAUGCAAGUAAUAAAAAAAAAGGUUUUAGAAGAAGAGUAGACGAUGUUAAAGUCAAAACCCAAACGAAUGUAGUCUUAGGAGUUAUGUAAAUGAUGAGAGUGCGAGUCUUAAUAGGGAGAGCUUCUAUUAGUAAAAAGUCUAGAAGUUUAGCUAACUGAGAAAAAGAUUGAAUCUCUUAACAAUUAUUGCGAGGUUGGUAUUCACAGAGAAAAGAGGAUCACCUUGAUCACUAAGAUAAUGUCAUAUCAUUCAAAUUUUACCGAUUGGAUAUGAACUAGAUAAAGAAAAUGGGUUUAUUUGGCAAAAGUUAUUAAACCUAGUCCAGAUAACACCGAUUCGAUCAAGCUAAAUAGGUCACCUAGGUUACUAGCUCUAUUGUUAGGUCAAUUAUACAAUAUUAUUAAUAAAUUUUGUAACAAGUGAAGCAUCGGUAAGAAAUUGUGAAGUGGUAAGUGUAUUUUGGUUGGUCUUUUAAAAAUAACUUAAAGGUACGUGAUACAAGUUAUAUAUAUAUAUAUAUAUAUCAAGUCAAUGUUUGACCAAGUAGUCAAGUUUAUUGGUUUUGGUAUGAUUUUAUUGAUUUUGAUUUUAUUUUACCAUGCCAUCUAAGAAUUCUAAUUUUAGUAACAACUUGGAUAUCGUCAGGUUUCUAAUCAAAAGAAUCGGUCUAAUUCAAUUAAAUAAUAUUAUUUUGAGUUAAAUUAUUUCAAUUUGAAAAAAACAAUAUACAACUAGACCUUUUAUUUUAAAUUAAUUUUUAUAAUACAUUUUAAAGACAAGACAUGGAAAACAACUCCAUCACAACACUCAUGUUUAUUCUCACACAUCUCAAGUUUUGUACUAAACAAAAAUUAUCAUUAAUAAUCUAUUUGAUACACAGCCUGGAUAAAAUAUCAAAUCAAGAAAAAUUAAUAUAAAUUAGUACAUAAAAAAAUUAGUUAAAUUACCUGAUUAUCUCUGGAUACAAUUCCAUGCAUAGACGAUAAAACACACAUAGAAAGGGAAUGAAAGGUUAAUUGAGUAACUUUUCCCUUUCAUAAAAAACACAAAUUGCAAACUUCUCCCCCUUUCACAAGUUUUUAGUUUUAUAAUAACUAUAGAAUUUUUUUUUUCUUUUGAUUUUCUUUUUUUCUUUUUUCUUUUUAAGAAAGCAAUUGUAGAUAGAUUAUUAUUUUUGUUGAGCAUUCACUACCUUUGACAAGGAUGGUACACUUACAAAAUUCUUUAUUGGAAGUUAAAGCAAAUAGCAUCGAUUCUGUUAAUUUAGCAUCAAAUCUUAAAAGAGGUUGCAAGAAAAUAAUUUCUUCGCAUAAAUACAUCAGUCCAUCUGGGACAACAAAUCUUCUUCGUUCCUCACUGUCCACAGCUAUUACCAUGAAAUGACCUUCUUUAACAUCAUCAGGGACUCUUUUGUAUCAUUAUAACUAAAACAUUAACAUACUAGCCAAGGGUUAUCAAUAAUUUAUUUUAAUCAUGUUAAUAUUUCAUAUUAAAAAGUUUUUGUUAGAAAUUAAUUUUUUUAAAAAAGGUUAACCCUAAAAAUAAAUGGAUCGCAUUUUUAAUUUGAUUUCAAAUGUGUCCAUUAACCAUAUUUUAAAAUAAAAUUUCAGUAAUCCUCCAAAUAAAUGGAAAUUGUUUAACUAGUAUAAAAGACUUGAAGAUUUAUAGAAAUAUUGAUUUGAUAUAUCACUACAUGAUAUGUAGUUUUUAGCUUUGAGCUUAAUUUCCUUAGAGAAAUAUUACCAUAUUUACUCAACUAAUUAGUAAACACAGUGGUGGAGUAAAAACUUUUUAAAUGAGGGGGCACAUUACUAACAAAUACUUGAUAUUAUAUACUAUAUAGACAUGUGCUAUAUAUAGAGAAAUCAAUUUGAAAUGCAUAUACUAACUCAUGUUAAGCAAAAUUAAUUUAAGAAAAUUUUUAAAAUGAAAAAACUUACAUUAUAAUUAUUCUUUUCGAGUUUUUAUAUUUUAAAAAUGCUUCAUAAUAACUUCAUUUUUAAUUUCAUUAAUGAUAUUCUUUCUCAAUAUAUACAAUUAAACUUUCAUUCAUCUAUUUCUAAAUCUUUCAGGGACUAGUAAAAUUAUUGACAAUAAUUAUUUGUUGACUUAAUGUUUUAUACAAGUAAGUUAAAUAUAAAUAUUAAUAUAUUUUUUUAAUUUUUUUUACUUUGUCCCUAAUUUUUUUUGUUCGACACUUCGUUUUUAAUCACUAGUAAGUUGAUCACCAUCAUUUUUCAUAUGAAAUUUAUAACAAAAUACAUAUUAAUUCAUCAAAACUCAUUUCAAUUCAUAUUCAUAUGCAUAUAAUAUUAUCCAUACACGUAUUAAUUUAACAAAUUUGUAAAUUAUCAUAAACUCUAACAUUUUUAAUAACUAAAUAUUAAGGAAUAAAACUAAAAUUAGACAAUGGGAUAAAUAGAAAAAUGAAGGAAACUCACCUAAAACAUAAAGUAUAAAGCAUAAAAGGUCACCUACUUAACUAAUUAUUAGUUUAGGACUUGAAGAGAAAUUUUAUAGAAGGAAGAAAGGCAGGAACAAUAAUUCAAAAAAAAAAAGCUUGGAUCAAUUAGUAGUUAAUAAAGAAAAUUAAACUUGUUAAGUUAUUAUAUUAAAAUUCUAAUAUAAAAAAUAUUUUGAAAAAAAUAUAUUAAGGGGGCAAUUGCCCCCCUUAAUCCCAUUGUGGCUCUGCCACUAAGUAAACAUGAUGUCUUGAAUUAUUCUUCAUUUUAUGUAAAUUAAACAAAGCACUCACAUAGUUUUCUACUUAAAGAUUCAUUUGAUUCUCACAGUUGUGUUCAUUUUAGACCUAAACGACUUUUAUAGUCACGAGUGCUUUUGAAAAUUCAGCCUUUUUAAAAUUCACAAGCAAACAACCAUAUUUCUCACUCAUAUAAGUAAUAGCUCAUUAAGAAUAUUUUAUUAUACUUCACUUGGUAUAUCAAGAUAUGAAAAUCAUUAAAAGAACUACUCAUCCUUUAUAAUGCUACAACUAGCACCUUUUUUUUAUUAUAGGAAUAAACAUGAAAUAAAUUUUUUUCAAGGGCUAUUAAGAUUGUUAUAUGACCUAAUUUUUUAUUUGAAUGUAGAUUUUGAGAUCUCUAGUUAACUAGAUAUGGUUAUCAUCAUUAUACGCUUUCAUUUUUAAAGGCUUUAAUCAUGUUUUUCUUGAUGAACUAUACACAAGCUCUCUCGAUAAACUUUCGGUUAGCGAAUCCGUAAUAUUUUUCUUUAACUUUACAUAGUUAAUACAAAUAAUAUCAUUUUAGAUAAAGUAUUUAAAAAUAUUAUAUAUAAAAUAUAUAUAUCUUGACUUACCAUUAUACAUAUUACUUAUUGCUUUUAUAAUUGCAGUUUGACUUUCACAAGGAACAUAAAUUUCUAGCACUAGUUUUGCUAAUAUAAAAUAUACUCUAAUAAAUUUCAAAGCCAUUAAGCUUUUUGUCUAACUUUAUCAAAAGCUUUCAUAUCUUAUUCAAUUAUGGAUCUUAGGAUACAUAUUUGUUUUGAGGAUUUUCAUGAUACCGUUGUUCUACCGAGUGUGAAGACAAAUCCACUAGUAGAUUUUUAAUUCUUAGUGUUGGAUAUCCAAUUGACAUAAUUAUACCUUUCUAACACUUUCAGGUACCUGAUAUUAUAUAACUCAUAAGUCAAGGUGUAUUUUAAAUAAUAUUUUGGUAUAUUUUUAAUUGCUUUUUAAUUAUCCACACCUGAAUUACUAGGAAUGAGAUGGGUCGUGGAUUAGCUCGGAUAGUCUUAAUAGUGGAGAAUACUCUAGUAAACUUACUCAAUUUUCUAAUAAGUAUGCCAUAUAAGAUAUUGUAUUAUAGUUCACAAUAUCAUCAAGCUCCUAAUUAUUUGAGAAUAGUCUAAUUGGUCUAUUUUUUUUACCUUUAGUUUUUUAAUAGAUGGACAUUUAUAUUCAUUGGUGUUUUUAUAGUACAAUUUUUAUAUUUAGAAAAUUUUCCAAUAAUUUUCUCAACAUAAUAAAAUUAAGCCAACCAAAUAUCCUAAUAAUUUUUAUUUCUAAUAUGAGAUCCUUUAAUAUUAGAUUGGAUGGAAAUUAAGCUUCAUAACUCUUUUUUAUUUUCCUUCUACAGGGUAAUCUUGAUUUCAUGAUCCAGGUCACGAGUUUGAAAGGUUAACUUGAGUUGACUUGGGGUUUUUAUCCUUUUUUUAAUUGAUUUUUUUUAUUUCAUCCCUCAAUAUUUGGUUGGUUGUGGAUUGUACUUUUCAGCUUUUUUCAAUUUAAUUUCAAUGAGAUUAUAUCAGUCUCAUAACCCGAAUCGCAAAUUUAAUAGGUUAACUCAAGUUGAUUUGGAUAUUUUUAUCAUUUUUUUAAAAGAGUUUUUUAUAGUUUAAUCCUCCAAUAUUAGGUUGAUUUGGAAUUGAGCUUUUUAAUUUUUAUCCUUUUACUUUCUAUAAGGUUAUCUCGUUGUCAUGACUCGGGUCAUAGGUUUACUGAUUUACCCGGGUUGACUUAAGUCACUUUUUAUCUCUUUUUAAUUGAUUUUUUUUUAUCUUUCAAUACUGGGUUGAUUCAUAAUUGAGUUUUGUAAUUUAUCUCAAUUUGCUUUUUAUUAUAUUAUACUUAUGACCCAAAUCAUGAAAUUUACAGGUUAACCAAGGUCGUCUUAAUCAAUCCAAUAUGUCAUCAUCUUAAUACUAAAAAAAAAAUGUUGCUAAUAUAUCACCAUCUCAAUAUUUAUAUAUAAAAAAGUGUCAUCCAAUAUACAUUAUUUUCUGAGUUCAUAAUUAAAUUAUUUUUUUUACUAGACAACAUGUUAGUAAUGUCUUUAUAUUUUUUUAUGUCCAGAAAAAAAAAAUCAAUAUACAUCAUGGUGCAAGGCCAAAAAUAUAGUUAUAUUUGAAAUGGUUGCAUUCACCAAUAAUAGAUAAUACGUUCAAACCAUUGCCAAAAGAGAGAGGAAUUCAGAUGGAAAGGAGAUAAAUUUUAGUUUGUUUAUGGGUGUUUUUGAUAUAUUAUAUAUGAGGAUAGUAUAGGUUUUUUUUGUUCAAAUUUAGAAAAUAUUCUUUUAAAUAGAAACUGGGGUAGGUUCAAUGAGAGACAUCAGCACCAUUUAGAUAGUGCGUGAUGCGUCCUACAACUACCCAAUGGUAGCUUCUAGUGCGUCAUUUUUUCUUGACCCAUCUGCCAAUGCAAUUUUUUGAAGUAAUCCUGCAAUUUGUUUUUUCUUCAUAUUUGGUUCAUGUUCUUUCGAUUCAAUUUGUUUUAUUUAAAAUAACUUAUAAAAUUAGAUUUUUUUUAAUUUUAUCAUUCUUUAAUUUUUUUUCAUCUAUCAUAUUUGGUCCUAAUUCUUUUUAUUACUAUUUUUUGGGUUUUAACCUUGUAUUGAUUUAUUUUAUUUUUUAAUUUUGUCCCUCAUUAUUUUUCAAUUUCAUCCCUAAUUAAUUUAUUUCAUUUAAUUUUUAUUCUAGGUAUGAUGGUCAUAUUGUUUUGAUUUCUUUUGGUUUUGUUUUUUAAUUUUGAAUAACUGAGAAUUUUGCUUCAAGAUUUUUUUAGAUUUGCUUUCUAUAAGGUAACUCAGUCUCAUGAAUAGAGUUACGGAUUUGAAGAUUAGUCCAAUUUGACUUUAGUCUUUUUAUAGGUCUUUUAAAUUGAUGUUUUUCAAUUUCAUCAUUUAAAUGAAAUUAUCUCGUUCUUGUAUCUUGGAUUAUAUUAGUCAAGUUAACCAUGGUUGACUCGGGUAUUUUUUUGUGUUUUUUAAUUGAUUUUUCUCUAAGCCUUACAUUAUUUUAGUUCGCUUAAGAGUUGACCUUCAUUGUUUUAUUCAAAAAAAUUUGUAUGGGAUUAUCUUGACCUUACAACUAGGUCGUGAAUUUGACAUGUUGACUCGAGUUAAGUUUUUUUGUUCUUUUUUCAAAUUAAUGUUUUUUCAAAUCAUCCUUUACCAUUUGAUUUGCAGGUGAUUAAGCUUUUGAUUUUUUUUCUCUUAUAAGGUCAUCUCAUUAUCAUUUAUUUUUUACUUUGUUAUUAAAUGACAUCUUUGAGACCUCUUAAGAAUAUUUUGAGGGUAUCUUUUUUAUAAUUUUGGCAAGUAUUUAAUUUUUUUUAUUAGUCUUUUUUGUUUUGCUUUAUAUAUAACCAUGUUAUUAAAUUAAAUGAGUUUAUUGAACACAUUUGAAUCAAUGACUUGGGUCCUAAGUUUUUCUUUCUCCUUUAAAAAUAUUUUCAUCGUUUGAGCAUCCUUUUUAUGUGUUGGGAAAAAUUUGGUCCAGCUUGAGACAUAGCAUAAGCCACCAAUCUAGUUAUUGAAAACUCUAAAAGGUAUGUCAUUGUAAAGAAACAAUAUUCACACACUCACAUGUUACUGUGGGCUCAUUGUUCAUUUUUUAUUAAUUCAUUUUGAUUCUCAAAGUUUUAUUUAGGAAAAUUUGAUCAUAAUUGAAAGUCAAUUGCUUUUGAUUUCUUAAGUACACGUGGAAUCAAAAGAAAAGGAUCAAAAUGAAAAGGAUGCUAAAAAUAAGUGGUGUUCUAGAUUUUUGGUGAAAAAUACAGUUAGAUCCUCUAUCUUUAAAAAUAAUACAAUUUAGAUCCCUUUAAGUUUCAAAAAAUAAAUUUUGGUAUAAAAUUUUAUUUUUUAGUUCCUAGUUUGAGAGAGGAGAGAAAGAGAUUGUCAGAUUUCAUUAGUAGAGAGAAAAUCAAUAUGACAUCAAUUUUGACAAUAAAAAUGUUCAACCUUUAUAUCAACGGGUUCCAUUUGGUAAAAAGUUCUACUUCGUUGUUUUUCAUCUUGAAAUUGUCUGAAACCAUAUCUAAGCUCGAGAAGAUUUUUAGUUUUUGGUUGAUAUUAAGUUUUUGUGUGUGUGCAUGCGUGUGUGUGUGUGUGUGUUUUUUUUUUUUUUUUGUCAUUUAUGGUUUCUUCAAGAUGCUUACUCAUUUCUAAGUGUUAGGGGUGUUCACGGUCCGGUUCGGUUCGGUUUUAACAUAAAAAUUCAACCGAACCGGAAAAUAUCAUUUCUUGUUAAUAUAACCCGAACCGAACCGAAAACCGGUUCAAACCGAACCGAUUUUGUUCGGUUCGGGUCGGUUUUUUAGCCUUAAAAACUAGAAAAACCGAAACUAAUAAAAUAAAAUAAAACUUUUGGGGAAAAGGGAAGGGAAAGGGUGAGUGGGUUGGAAAAGUUUUGGGGAAAAGGGAAGGGGGAGGGUGAGUGGGGUGCAAAGGUUUUGGGGAAAAGGGAAGGGGGAUGGUGAUGGUGAGUGGGGUGCAAAGAUUUUGGAGAAAAGGGAAGGGGGAUGGUGAGUGGGGGCCGGCGGGUAUUGGAGUGGGGGCCGGGUGCAAAGGUUUUAUAUUUUGUUUUAGAUUCAAUUAAACCGGUUCGGUUUAGUCCGGUUCAAUCGGUUUAACCUUUUUAAAACCGGAACCGAACCGAACCGGGUGGUUUUUUUAAAAUUUUUAAUCGGUUUAUUCGGUUUUUUUAUCGGUUCGGUUUUUUCGGUUAAUUUUUUCUCGGUUUUCUCGGUUUAAUCGGUUGAUCGGUUUUUUUGAACACCCCUACUAAGUGUUAUAGAUGAAAAAUAGAUUGAAAAUGAGUUUUUAAGUUAAAAAACAUAAACUUUAUUUUUCAAACAUCAUAAUUCCCAUAAUCUAGGAAAGACCACAUGACGUAUCAUCUAAAAUUUUAUUUUUUAAAAACAAAAUAAUGGAGCUAAAAAAAUGUCAUCCGAGCAAAUUUUAUUUUUUUAAAAAAGAGCAUGUCUGCAUGCAUGUGCCUUUUUUUAGAGAUUUUUAAAAUGAUUUUUUAAUUAUAUUUAAAUUAAUACACUAUCAUAUUUUUUAUUUUUGUAUUUAACCUUUUUUAAAUCGUUAUUUUUUAUUAUUUUAUAUAUAUUUAAUUUUUUUAAAAUGAUUAAGCUAUAAUUGUUUUUUUAUAUUUUAUACAAGUGAGAUUUAUUUAGAGAAAAUAUAUUUAUUUUUGAAUAGUAUUUUCAACAAGUGCAAGUUACAAGAAUUGAUUCAGCUAUAAUUGUUUUUUUAUGUUUUAUAUGGGAGAUUUAUUUAGAGAAAAUAUAUUUUUAUUAUAAUUUAAUUAAAUAAAAAAUUAAUUUUAAUAAACUAUAUCAUUAACAAUCAAUUUUCAUUCAUGGUUAAAUGAUUUUUUUAUUGAAAAAAAUACUGAACCGGGGAGUAAAAUCCAAAUUAGGACAUAGCCGACCCAAAAGCAUACACUCCCCGACGUUGAAAAUGAAAACCGUUAAAACCUGACCAAAGCCCAGGCCACUACACCAUGGAAGACAAGUUUCCUUCGAAGUCUCCACUUAGAAAACCCAACAUGCGCUCCUCCUUGAGACUCGUGAGGUGAAUUAAGGGCGACUCCAUUUGACAUCAAAUGAAGUAAUUAUCAUCCAGCCCCCUCCCUCCUUUAUAGCGCAUGAAUCCCAGCUUAUAAAAUCAAGUGGAACAUUUUAUUACCAUCAUGCAGAUGCAAAUCCAGUGGGCGACACCAAGACUUCAAAAGAGGAAUAUAAAAGUAGCAUAGGAAAGAAAGUAGCAUAACAUGUUUUCAGAGGUACACACAUGUAACAAGAGGAGGAUCACAUCAGCAUGGCCUCUGAACUAAAUAAAUAUUGUCACAUACCACCACCUUGGUAAAGGACCAAGUCUAGUAGUAGAACGCCAAUCGUAAUUAUGGAAAACAAAAAUAAUACUCCAUAGUAACCGAGCAAAGGAUACGAUGAACAUUUGGCUCGAAACAAUCAACAAGCCUCCUUUGUCACCCAUCCCCUCCUCUCUACAAGCUGCUUUCUUCAUCCUGGGGAAACCAAAAUCACCCACUCGGCCUUGUGAUACUCAGCCAUUAUCCGAAUCGGUCCCUGUGAUCCAACUCAACUCAAUCAGACAACCCUGCCUUCUUCUUGAGGUGCGCCUUGAAUUCCAUAAUGUCGCCCUCCCAGCGGGUAACAGCUUGAUUCUCACAUACCCAUAUCUCCUGCGCUACCUGGUUUAUGAGCCUGAAAUCAUGGCUAACGAGAACCAGACCCCCAUCCCACUCUUUCAAUGCCUCCGCCAGGGAGUCGAUGGUCUCAAUAUCCAAAUGGUUGGUUGGCUCAUCCAGAAGGAGCAUUUGGGGUUGCCUAAAUGCCAGCCAAGCAAAUAUCACCCUGCUCCUCUGCCCAUCUGACAAAUUACUCAUGGGCAUCACCUGGGCCUUGCCUGUCAACCCAAACUUCCCAAUUGCUGCCCUCAUUUUUUCUUCCUCGUUCCCUGGAUACUCUCUAAUCAUAAAAAGGAGAGCAGACAAUUCUAAGUCUAGUUUCUCAGUCAAGUGUUGAUGAAAUUGCGCAAUCCUCAAGUGAUUGUGCCGGCGAACCAUGCCAUCUAAAGGAACCAAGUCACCCGUCAUAAGCUUCAGCAAGGUACUCUUUCCAGCUCCGUUGGGGCCAACCAGUGCAACCCUAGAAUCCAGAUCCACACCAAAGUCAAGAUUCUUAUAAAUGAGGUUAUCAGGUGUGUAGCCAAAGGUUACUUCAACAAACUGAAGCACGGGUGGCGGGAGCUUCCCCACAUCAACAAAGCGAAAGACCAGAACCUGGUCUCUCGCAACCCUUUCUGUAAGUCCACCACGUUGCAUCUUAGCAAGAGUUUUCUCCUUGCUCUGCGCCUGACGAGCUAACUUUGCUGACCCAUGCCCAAAUCGGGCAAUAUACUCCUUCAUGCCAGAAAUCUGAUCCUGCUCCCAUUUGUACUGUUUCAUCUGGUUUUCUUCCAGUUCAGAACGAGUCUGAACAUACUGAUCAUAGUUACCAGUGUAGAUUUUCAAUUUCCUGCUUUGCAUGUGGAUAAUGUUUGUGCACACACCAUUCAAGAAAUCCUGGGAGUGAGAAACCACAACUAGAAUGCGUUCAAAGUUCUUUAAAGUUUCCUCCAACCAGACACAGGCUUCGAGGUCUGUCACAACAUAAAAGAAUUGAUCAUUAACGAAAAACUUUUCCAGAUUUCACAAACCCCUUAAACUCCUCCAUUCUUCUCCCAAUAUAUGAGAACUGAACUUUAAAGAGUCAAAAACACUUAUGAGCCAACAAACAACAAAAAAGGCAUGAAAAGAAAUUAACAGCAUAAAAUUGUUAGAUGGUCAUAACUUUCAACAUUUCACCCAACACAAUAAGAACUCAGUUCAGUAUACUGUCUGCCACACAAGCUGAAAAACAAAGCCCCCAUGCUAACAACAUCAACCGGAGAAUUCCAAAAAGUUUUGCAUUAUCUGAAAACAAAUGAAUUUCCUUGCUUUUAGUCAUGGCAAAUAAAUCACGUGAGUUUGGCCCAAGUCCUCCAUGUUUUCACUGAAACAAAUGUCACAGGCUUGGAACUAAUUGUCUGUUUUGAAAAAUUCAAAGUGAAGAGUUGAAUUCAAAUCUGCUGUAGAAAUGAGUUAGAAGUGCAGAUGUUGAUAGAAGUAAAUAGUUGUCCAAUAGUUUGGUGUUCAAAUUUCUUUUUUCCCCUUUACUGUUGACCACAAAUGGGAUUAAAAAUACUUGCAAAACAGAACCCCUUUUUAUGAAUAUAUUUCUGCUGCAUGGUGUGUGACCAUCCAACAGUAAUUCACAUGAAAUCAGACCCUUCAAGGUUGAAUUUCAAUUGGGUGGAAAUCAACGUGUAGAACUGAAUUUCUUAGAAAAUCCACACUUCCAAACAUAAAAAUUUGAUUUCAUAUGGAAUUGUAAGUUAGGAUGUACAGAGAAGAGUUGGAAACUGGUAAAAAAAAGGCAAACAAUCUAUGAUUGAGAAUAUGCCAGUCAUUAUAUGCCUUAAGUUCUUGUAUAGAUCCCAACUCAACUAAUAAAUCCAAUAGAAUUGAAUUGAAAUCAUUACCGUAACCAAUAUUCUAAACAGGCUGUAACAGGUCGUGAUUUCAAGUUAUAUGUGGACCUGUCACUGAUUUUUUUGUAGAUUUUUGAAUGAGGAAAAUCAAAGAGCUUAUAAGGAUGUGCAUGCAAAAUUCACACUUCUUAGGAGAGUUCAGACAGAAAACUUAAGAAUCUUCCCAGAACAACUUGCAUUAUGGAGCUUUUUUUCUUUUUAAUAUUUGAUAGUUUUUUUACUUCUCAUGAUAUAGUGUCAUGGAUAAAGGAUUCACAUCUCAUGCUCAAUAGGACAGGACAUGGCAUUGUUUUCUUAUCUUGAGUUUUGCUUUUUUUUCCAUCAAGUAGGGUGUUGUGGUCUCCUAAAUGUACUUGCAAAAAUUCAAGGCAAGAACAGAUUUUUAAUCCAAAAAAUCCUAGUCCAGUUUAAUACGCAGAAGAAAAAUAUUGGCAUGUACUUACAAACUCACAAAUCCCUAGAGAGUUUUUCUUUUCUCCAAAAAUGGAAAAGUAGCCAAAAUACCACGAGAGAGUUGGAAAAUGCAAUGAGCAAACAUCAGUGCUAGGGGAGCUUACCAAGAUGAUUGGUUGGCUCAUCAAGUAAGAGGACAGUUGGGUUCAUGAACAAAGCCCGAGCUAAUGCAAUCCUCAUUCUCCAACCACCUGAAAAAUCUCGAGUUUUCUUUGUUUGCAUUUGCUUGUUAAAUCCAAGACCAAACAAAAUUUCAGCAGCACGUUUCUCUGCAGUUGCCACAUCCAUGGCCUCCAAACGCUCAUAAAUACGAUCAAGAGCUUCUCCACCUCCAUCAUCCUAUAUCCAAGCCAAAAUAAAUGAUCAAUCACACACGGAAGUCACAAUAACAUACAUCAUUCACAAGUUCUUAAAUACACCGAAAGUAUUUUUAGUCACAAGGAAAUACCUGUGCUGCCAAGGCCUCUGCUUCUUUCUCCAACUCCAACCUCUCCUCAUCACAGCUUAUCACAGCCUCAAGUGAAGACAUGUCAGAAGCUUCGAUCUCCCUGGUGAGGUGAUAAAUGUCCAUGUGCUCUGGAAUUGGAAGUUCUCGACACCCUAUUGCAGCUAGGAGUGUUGAUUUCCCACAUCCAUUUAAACCAAGUAAUCCAUAUCGUCUGAAGUACAAAAUGAUGUACGGAUGGGGGAAAAAAUAGAAUGAAUUUCUUUUUCAAUAUGAAGUUCUAUGACACAUGCGCCAAUUGAGUAAGAAUAUCCAAACCUGCCAUAGUUUAGCUCCAGCUCAGAAUCAACAAUGAGAUCAUGUCCAUGAAAAGUAACUGACAAUGAUUCAAUCUGCAAUGAAGAUCUAAGUUAUUUGCAAAUAACAUUACCUUUUGAACCAAGAUUUGAACUCCAUACAAAUAAGCAAUAAAAAAACCCUUAUCACUUGAUAUUACCUCCUCCAAGGAAUCCCAGAAGGAUGGACUAUUGCUUAUAUUCAUUCAGAAAAGAAAAUUUUUAGUCUAAACAUUUCAUGUUCACGGUUGCCAGAAUGCACUGAUGACAGACACAGCUGCUCGCAUAGGCACUUGUCUAGGUACACCAAGCUAGCAACAAUAAGCUAGUGGUGAGAUUAAUUUAUAAUUCUGGUGUGAUGUGUGCAAGACUAGCAAUCAUAUAACAUAAUAUAUCCUUUGGAAUAUAUCAAUUGAAGAAACUACACGCUACUAUAUCUAUAAUAAUAUCCCAGGGCAUUUGAUUUAAUAUCUAUAUGAUCAGAAUCAUACUCAGAAAUACAGAAAAAAAAAUCAAAAUAAUUAUCUUUAGAUAUUGAAAGCAAGAUAUGGCAAUUGGAGACACUCUUACAGUUAACCAAUUAAUCCUUACAAUAAUCUCUUGCAGCUUAGAAUUAGAGAACCAUCUAAAAAAACCAUGAGAAAAAAAAUUGGUGCGAUCAAAUUACUUAAGGAGCCUAAUCAAAAAAUUAAGUAAAAACCUGCGUUAUAAUCAACAUCUAACAAGACUUAGAAAAAAAAAAGGUCAAUAAAACAUAAAAAUAAAUCAACCAACAAAUCAAUAUAUAUAUAUAUAUAGAUUAAACUGUAGUAUUUAAAAAAGAAAAAUCAACAAACAUACGCGGAUAUCUCUGGAAAGAGGAUGCGAGCAUAGGACGCCCGUACAAGUCCGAUCGGAAAUCUGAAGAGCUCCAACUCCAUUCGACAACUUAUCAACACCUCCAUUCUGCGAAUCGGCAGCCGCCGCUGCUUUUGAGGAGGUUGCAGCUGCUUUUCCACCUCUCUUGGCAGCGGCCGCCGCCUUCUUUUGAGCAGCCUUCUUCUUGCUGGCGUCGGAAACCAUGGUUAUAUCAAGUAAUUACUAAUUAGAGAGAGAGGGAUCUAGGGUUUGGUUUCGAACGGAUGUUUCGGUGGUGUAAUAGAAAACCCGUUUAUGAGGGUUAUGGGUGAGAGAGGGUUUGUGGAGAGUCGAUGAUCUAAAUAUUUAUAGACCAUUGGUAGACACGUGUACGGUUGUUUACCAUUCUUUUUAAAGGCAGAUUAGACGAAGUUAGCGCUUGUUGUCAUGUUCAGGUUUUCUUCAGUUCCGUGCCUAAAUUCAACUCGUGACUGUUUGGUAUGUGAACGAGUUAAAUUUGAAUUUGUUUUAGCUUUUUUCGUCAUAAAACAAUUGUACGACAAUUUAUAUUAGGUUUUGUUAUCGAAACGUUAUGGUGAUAGCUCAAUCCUUCUCGAAAAAUACUUAUAUUGUUGGUGUGUGGUUCAGAUUAAUAUUUUUAAUAUAAAAAAUAUUUAAAUAUUAUUAAUAUAUUUUUUAAUAAAAAAUAUUUAAUUAUGAUAUAAUGGAGUGCAUAUUUCUAAAAAAUAUUAAUACGGCAAUAUAUUGAAAAAUAUUUUUUAAAAAUAUUGAGAUUAGGACAUAUUAGACCGAUUCAAGUUAAAAAGUUAAUCAAAAUAAAUUAUGAAGAUCAAUUCCUAAUCAAUUCAAUAUUAAAUAAUGAAAUUGAAAAAUAAAUUAAAAAAACUAUAUCUGCCAGCCUAAGUUAACUUAUCAAAAACUAUAACUCGGGUCAUAAAAUCAGAAUAACUUCAUGGAAAAUAAAUAAAUAAAAAUACAAACCCAAUUAAAAGUAUAUUCAAUAAAAAAAAUAACCAAAAAAAUAAAUAGAGUCAAUUUGUCGAACUUGCAAUAUAGGUCAUGAAAUCAAAUAACUCCAAAAAAAACAAAUAAAAAAAAUAUAAAUUUUAAUUUUCCAACCAAUCCAAUGUUGAAAGAUGAAAACGAAAAAGAAAAUCAAUUAGAAAAAAUAGACUAAAAAGACAAUUCAAGUCAAUUCGUAUUAAUUAGUUAAACCUAGAACAUGUAUCUUGAGAUCAAGAUCAAUUAAUAUAAAGAUCCCUAUAAGUAAAACAUUUGAUGCAUACUAGAUGAAACACUUUUAAAAUACUUAAAUGAUGACAUGUUUUUUUUUUUUAAAAAAAAAAAACUUAAGACGGUGACUUAUUGGAUCAAUUCAAGUCAACUAUGGUUAACCUCAAAACCUGUAAUUUGGGGCAUGAGAUGGGUAAUAACCCUAUAAAAUCCUUAUCGAAACAAAUUAUGAAGUAUAGUUCUAAUAAACCAAAUAUUAAAGGUUAAAAAUGAUAAAAAAAUAAAACAUAACAAAAGUGACUCUAAUAAACCUAUAUUGAUGGUAAACGCUAUGCCGCAGGGCGGACCAAAUUUUUCCGAACACAAAAAGGAAAAACAUUAAGGUGACAAUAGAGUUUCUGAAGAAGUAAAAUAAAAUAGAGACUUCAUUCAUUGAGUGAGUUGAGUUUAAUAAGCACGGUUAGUUUAAUAAUAUUAAAAAAUAAAAAGCAAUCCUAAUUUAAUAGUAUGAAAAAUGAAGUAAACCCGGGUAAAUCUUUUAAAUCUGGGUUAACCAUCUAAAUUCGUGACUUGUAAAAUCCUAGACCCGAGCUCAAUUAAAAAGCCCGAUUCCCAACUAAAUUAAUGUUGAAUGAUGAAAUUAAAAAAGCAAUCGAUUAAAAAAAAUCCAAAGAAAAAAUAACAAUAAAAAAAAUAAAAAUCAAAUAUGAUAGGAAAAAAUAAUUAAGAAGGAUGAAUUAUAAAACAAAACCAAUUUUAAAAACCACCUAAAUUUAAAAAAUAACAAUGAAAAAAUGUGGGCUAAAUUUGAGAUAUGAAAAAAAUUAAAGGGGGAUGAAAUUGAAAAUAAUUUUUAAAUUGAAAUAACUUAUUCAAAUAAAAAAAAUUACAACAAAAAAAUAAGAACUAAAUCUAAAAAAAAACAAAUUAAAGAGUUACUUGAAGACAAUAAAAAAAAUCCUACUAGUACCAAAUUGGUGAGGAUUACCAUACAUAUGUUAUUUAAAGAGAUAAGCACCACCGAGACAAAUAAAAAUAACACUAAGAAAGGUUGCUUUUGGCUACUAGAAAUCACUAUAUACGUUAUCUAAAAAUGACAGGGUGGCUCACACACUAGAAUAUGUGUUGUACACACCAAAAUCUUAACAUUUUUAUUGCAUUGGACAAAGAAAAUAUAAUUUGAAAUAUAAUACUUUUUCACAAGAUUUGAAUUUACAAGAUUUGAAAAAUCUACAAAAUGAGAGACCUCCCUGAAAAUGUAUUCUUGACUUCAUAAGGGACUUUAUAAGUAGGUGUUCAUUUGUUUUGAUCCCGCUUGAGAACUAGUAAAAUCUUCUUAAACACCAAAUCUCUUCCAUGAAAUUCUCAAGUUCAUACUUUCUUAUAAAAAGUUGUAGCCAUUCUUCUUUGAUAUGUUGUCCAUGAAAAAUUGUAGCCAACUUUAUUUCACUAAUAAAAUCCAGUUGUUCACACCGGAUUUUAGCCUAUUCUGACUUUUCUAUCUUUAUUUUAUUUAGUACUUUUAGGAAAGGUAUCUUAAUUUCAAGAGACAUCAUUGUAUCUAGGUAUUUGUCCUCACAUUAUGCAAUCUUUUUAUAGGUGUCCAGAAGUAUUUACUGCUCUGUAUUUGUCCUAACAUCAUGUUCAUAGCACAAACACCUUCAUGAAUGUCCUCCAUUGCCUUUAGAGCUUUUUUUUAUCCAAAUAUCUCAACGGAGUCCCAUCAAAUCCUCUUUUGUACAAGAUUUCCCCUUCUAAGUAGCAGUGCAUGGUCAUUAUUCGAAAAUAUUCUCGGUUUGUUUUAUCAGCUCUUGACGUGUAGUCUCGGCUUCUGAUAAACUGUUGGAUAUUAUGAUACCAGGGCUUCAUAUCCUCUUCCAUUUCAUUCAAGCAACAACAAUAUGAAGGGGAAAUCUUUAUCUCAAUAUUCACAGGUUGGAUCUUCACCUCACCCCCAAUUUGAGUCAUCAAAGCUAGUGUACCCAGUGCAUCUGCAAACUGAUUUUUGUUUCUACUCAAAUGAGCAAAUCCUGUCUCUUCAAAUUGAGCUGCCAGCUUAAUGAGGUGUUCUUGGUAAGGCUUUAGCUUCAUCUUUUUUGUUUUGGCUUUUCGACUUUCCUCUCCAAAACAGCCUCUAGCCCAUGAAUACAUGCUUUCUAUUAUACUAUGUUGAUGGUACAUUCAAACUUUAAUUCGAUUGCUAUUGGAUACUGUUUAGUAAUGGGUGAAAUGAGUAUUGCAACUAUUCCAUUAUCAGAAACAUUGGCAGCCCCCAUCAAAUAAAAUCAACGAUUGAUUUUAGCCUUUCCUUUUCUGUUUGAUAAUAAACAACUAUUAUUCUUACUUCACGUGAAUGUUUGUUCGUUUGUUUUUAUGUAAACACUAAGCCAUGCUUGUUGGUUAUAAUUACCAAAUAUUGACUGCUUACUCGCGGCUCUGCAUUGUUUUGUUAUCUUUGUGGGCAUUGAUGAGUCAAAUAAAAUUACCCUUAAUCCUUCAAAAAUUGUUGUUUUCCUUGAAACAGAGAUGGUUGCAUUUUGAUUUAUGUUGUCCUUUGGUUUCUUAAAUCUAAAAGUUGCUGCUCUGUUGCGAAACACCUUGGGCCAAAAGCAAGCACUCCAAUGAUGAUGCACCUAUUUUGUUCGAUGGAAGGAAACUCGUUUUGUUGGUCCAUGUUCGAUUCUAACUUGUUUGCAUGUACCAGAUGUUAUUCUCUUCUCCAAGCUGAUGCUCUUAUUGAGUGAGAGUGCAUGUCCGUUGUUACAAUUUCAAGUAGUGGAUAUCCACUGGAACUCAUAAUGUUGAAUGGUGAUGACCACCGUAUCGCUGAAGGAGAUGGAAACUUUCUUGCUUCAAACUAGAAAUAUAGCAUAAGAAACCUGAUCUUGAACUCUCUUGCAACUGUAGGUUCAGUUUAUAUUUCUCAAAGGGCAUUAAUAACUGGUGAAAUGAUCUAUGUUUAUUCUGACAUGAGUUCACUUGAAUGCUCUUUGAGUUUGUCGCUCUCUAAAAUAUAGCAACAAAUUAAAUUCUUGUUUGUUUUCAAAAUUGAAAGUACUAGAAAAUAGGCACUCCACCAAAUGAAAAUGGACAUGCCAAAUAAUUUCUUAAGAAUGUUUUUUCCAUUCAUCUUUUUCUCUUUUAAUCAUGUUCGUCAAUAAUUAAACCCUAAAUUCAUAAACAAGAAUGGAAACCUUCCUUGGAAAGGUUGUUGAAGGAUGACCUUAAGUUUUCCCUUUAUGUAUCCAACCUCUGAAUCUCUGUUUUUACCAGUCUCGCUGAGGUUUUACUUUGUUUUUCUCCUAAAACAAGUCCUCCGAUGCUUCACAAUGCUCCUCUCAGUUUCCCAUAUCCCUUGAGAAACUAAUCUGAUAUCUAAUGUAUCAGGAUCCAUGAUAGUCCCAGGCUCUCAAAGGUCUAUAUCUAUCUAUGGCCAUUAAAGUCUGGCAACUUGCUUAUCACUUUGUUCCCUCAUUUUGAUAACCUGGAGAAAUAGAAACAAUUGGGAAAUACACUUUAGCUGAUUCUUGUGUCCUGCUAUUUUUCUAGUGACGCUGUUUGUUGCUCCUGUCCCUGCAUGAUGAUUUCUCAUUGUUGCAUCUGAUAAGGAAUUCUGAGUUUCACUACACUAUAUUAUCACAACAAAAGUCUGGACGUGCGAGGUUGGACAACCUGUCAAAUUAUCUGAAAAAUCUUGAGUUUCAAGCUUCAAACCUGUCAAGUUUUUCCAGUUCUUAAGCGUGUGUUUGUUUGUGGAUUUCUCUGUUUUUUAGUGUGUUUGGAUUUCUUAAAAAUGUUUGUUACCUUUUCAUUAGGAGGCCAAGAAUAGUUUUUUCCAUGGUUAACUGCUAUUUGUUGAUGUCUUUUAAAUUUCUGCAAAUUGGUGGGGUUGAAGAAAUACCUAUAUAGAGGCGGCAUUGAAUUGCACAAGUUAAAAACGUUGUUCGCCAAUCUUGUUCCAAGCUAAGUUUGAGAUUUAAGAAAUAAGAAUGCUGGUGGUGGGCGUAGCUUGUCUAGGCUAUGCUUAGCUUCUUUGGUGUAUGGAUUGUUUGUUUCAUCGACUUUAUCUCAGGUGAUAUUAAUGUUCCAAAACUGAUUAUAUUCUUUUGCUGUUAAUCGAAAUGUCAGGAUAGAUAGAGAAGGGCGAUCUUGAAGAGACACGUCCUUUUCUUUGUUUAUAUCAUUGAAGUACAUAACAGCAGAUGUUGUGGACAGAAACAAUGGGAGAAUUGUGGCAACAGCAGCAAGAGCUGAACAUUCCAUCAAGAACACCCUUGAGUGUGCUCGAUCUUGCAAUGCAAAAGCAGCAACAGUUGUGGGAGAGGUGCUAGCUAUGAGAAACAAGGUGGAGGAGGGUCUAGAGUAGGUACAAGGAAGAAAGAUUCAUGUCGAUAUGUACAAAGAGUUCGAGAAAAAAAGGCUUCAAGAACCGCACCAGGAUUUGGGCUCUUGUUAAUACCCUUAAAAACAAUGGAGUUAAAAUAAUUCUUGAUGAGGAUAAUUAUAACACAUCUCGACAGAAUUUCUCACGAAUCUUUUCCUGUGUUUUUGCUUUAUAUUGCGUGUAGAAGAUACAGUUUACAUGCAUUUUACAAGGGAAAGAAUAGGGAUGGGUCUUGAUGCACAUGGCAUGAUGCUUAUUACUUCAAUUUAAAAACUUUUAUCUUUAGCCACGUAUUCCGAUUGCAAACAUCAAUGUUCUGGAAAUGAGGCUACUUGAAAGAAUGGAGGGAUCUUGUACAACAACAAAAAUUUCAAGGAUUUUCUUCAAAUGUUUUAAUGACCUAACCCACCUGACUGGUCCAAGCCUAGAACAUGAGUUAGACGAGUCAAUUCAUAGACCGGUGAAUUAACUUUAAUAAAAAAAAUUUAAAUAGUAUUGUUUUGAAUUAAAAAAUAAAAACAAUAUAAUUUGAUUUUUUUGAGCUUUUGCUCGGGUCAACUAUAUAAAUAAUUUUAAAUAUAAUUUAUUUUAAUUUAAAUUUUAUAUUAAUAGGUCAGUAAAUCAACUCAUCAAACUAUCCUAGAUUUGAAAAAAACAUGGCUUUCAACUCAAAUUUAGAUUUUAAAAAAAUAAAAAUAUUUUUGAUAUUAGUUAAAAUAAUCUAAAAAUAUAAAAAAAAUUAAAAUUUGAGAGAAGAUGCCCAAAACACCCUUGAUCGGUUGUAUUUAUUUGGCAGCACUAAAAAGUACGAGGAUAGAAUAAUGUCAGAAGGGUCCAUUUUUGGUGCUGGUGGGUGGGGAUAUGCAUGUUUUGAGCACUUGUUGUAAGGUAAGAUUUUCUUUUUUCAAUCAAAAUAUAUAAAAAAGCUAUUAUUAUUCUAUUAAAAAUAAAUAUUUUAAAAUAAAUUCAUAUCAUAUAUAUAUAUAUAUAAACACGUUCUCUAUCUAAACUACUUUUAUCUCUUUAAAGACAAUAUCUAAACAUAGUAUAAAAAAUAUCCAAGGUUUGUUGGUGCCUAAACACAACGCACCUCCUUGUCAAUUACAGCUAAAAAUUAACUAAUUGGUUUUUGUACAGACUGAGUUCUAUUAGGGUGGUAGAGAGACCAGAUAUGACUUGUAUCAUUUCUAGUUUUUUUCGGAUCAUUAGAUAAUCUGGAUUAAUUUUAAUUUUUUUAUAUAAAUUAAAUGAUAUUAUUUUAGUUAAAAAAAUAAAUAAUUAAUGAAUUAUAAUUAAAUUUUUAACUGGUCAAUUUAAGAUUUUAACUUUUUUUAUUUUUUUAAAUCUAGUUUUUUCCUAGUUCCUUAUUAAUCAGAUACCAAAUUAAUUCAUCGUGUGCUGAGUUUUAAAAAAGUGACGGCAUAAAGCAUUUUUUUAGUUUUUAGUGUCGAAAUCUUCAAAUUUUCAAUCUCUUCUCGCAUAAUACCCACAUUUUAAAAGCUCUCAACAUUCAACAUUCAACAUUCAACAAUUUUCAAUGUAUGUUAUAGAUCAAGCCUUCCAAUCACUACUCAUAAUGCCCAACUUUGACUUAGUGUGCCUUUAUUAGUACUAGAAAAUUGCUUCAUAGAGGGACCAAGUUAUUGAACUCAUUGAACAUCCCACUCUCGAAGUGGAUGUCGGCAAAGACCACCAUUCAUCUUCUUUUUUGUCUUUUUUUUCUUUUCUUUUUUUUUAAAAAAAAACUCAUUUUGAGACCUGUGUUUGUAUUAAAUUGACAAAUUAAAUCUUGUAUAAAUAAUUUUGCGAAUUUGACCUUAUAGUGGUUAUCUUUAGACAAUUCUAUCCCAUUAAUCUCAAUUGUUUACAUAAAUUCAUUUACUGUGUUAAAGCUUGUUGAGGUGGAAAGUAUUAACCAUAUAAUAAAAUUACGCGACUCUCCCAAUUGGAUUUGUUUAUUUUAUUUUCUUAAAAUUAGAACCUAUCAUCUUUAUUAAAAUUGUCACAUGAGUAAUAUUUCUCAACUCAACGAGCAUCAUAUCCCUCAUGCAAAGAAUGUAAGAUUAAAUUUGUAAAAUUACUCACAAAAUUUAAUUUGUGGGUUUUAAAUAAACAUUAGGGAUUAGGGUUUUUUUUUUUAAUACAUACUUUAAACAGACACACAAUAAGAGAAGAUAUUUACAAUAGAGCUUGUCAAAUAACCAUCUCAACUCAAAAAUUUAAGAUAUUAGGUGAAGUUUCAAUAUAUAAUUUAUAUUAUUCUUUAAUAUACCCUCUCAAGUGAAAAUUAUUUGGGCUUAAAACUUGUAUAAGUUUAUUUUAUCUUGUGCUUAAUUUUUAUCAAAUAAAUGAGAAUGGUAAGAUUUAAACUCGUGAUCAUUUGGUUAUCAAGACUCUGAUACCAUAUUAAAGAACUAAUUCAACUAAAAAGCUUAAGUUAUUAGGUAAGAUCCCAAGAUAUGAUUUAUAUUAUUCUCUAACAGAAUUAAAAUGAAAUUAAGUAGGAAAUAUAUUUAGUAAAGAUGUUUUUCAAAAGUAUUUUUUAAUUAAAUAUAUUAAAAUAAUUUAUCUCAUAAAAAAUUAGCACGUCAAAACCAUAAUAAAUAUAUGAAAAAAAUAUAAAUUUGAUUUUUUAAAUGAAAAAUAAUUUGAGAAAUAUUUAUUAAAAAAAAAAAGAGGCAGAAACCAUUUUUCAUUGUCAUGUAUUAUGUAUACCUAUCAAUUAUUGUCAAUCAAACUUGUACAGGGGGGGUUGCCAUUCAUGAUUAUGAAUAAUGUAUUUGAAAGUGUAGUGUGGUUUUUUUCCGUGAAACCCACAUAAAAAAACAAGAAAAAACAUGUAAAACUUGCUUUUAAUAUUGACAUUUUAUAUAUUAAAUGAAUUAUAUAUAAAAAUUAAAAAAAAAAACUAUCACACCCAAUCAAACCAGACUCCUAAAGACACCCGUAUGUUGCUUCCUAUCCACAUUGAAGGUGAAAUCCUUACCCUAUGUCCCAAUCAACUAAAUAUCCCCUUAGGACUUUUCUACAAAGCGUUGUGAGGAGGCUCUCAACUUUGAAAAACUGCCAAUCUCAUUGUUUCUCUUUCCUAUCCUUAGAUAUUACUCCCACCUUGCACAGCAAUUUAUAAUCAUUCACAAACUAAACAUAACAAGAAUACGCUGAAAAAAUAAAUAUCAUGAAUUAUAAUCGCUACUCUAUAAAGAUAAAGAUUUUUUACUCUGAUUUUUUUCUUGUCAAAAAAUCAUCUUAAUUCAAUAAUUUAAAUUUUUAGGUUAUAUUUUAAAAUAUAAUUUAUAUUAUUUUCUAACAUACUUUCUCAAGUAAAAACUCUUUAAGUUAAAAAUUUACACAAGCUCAUAUUAUCUUGUGUUUGAUUUUUAUCAAAAAAAAAAAUACUAAGGGUAGUGAGAUUCAAAGUCAUGACUACUUAGUUAUCAAGACUCUGAUAUCAUGUCAAAGAACUAUCUCAACCCAAUAGUUUAAGCUAUUAAGUAAGGUUCUAAAAUAUGAUUUAUAUUAUUUUAUAUAAUUUCUUCUCUUAAAUAUUUUCAAAUAAUUUAAAUUCUUGACUAAAAAACUUAAUGAAAAACAAUUUCUAACUUGGCACCUCUUCAAUACAAAACUAAUUUUCUACCUGUAAAAGAUCUAGAGAGCAAAUUUUCUUUUCAAUCAUGGUAGGGGAUAUUUGAGGGGAUAUUUGAAGGGAUAUUUGAGGCAGUAGGAACGUCGUUCAUGCUUUAAAGCUUAGAGGCACAUGGGAUAUAGAUAAGAUCCGACCACCACCCAAACUAAUGAAUCUUUUCCUGCUUUCUUUUCAGUCGACUUCACCUGUAAGUUCAAACUAAAGUAAUUAUGAAGAGAACUGAAGCUCGGCGGCCCGCAUAGAUUAUAAAAUUAUUAUGGCUCUCAAGAAUCCAAAUCCUUUCAUCUCCAUGCAGCCGAAGAUCUUAUGGCUAAAAAUAUUUUGAAAAAAAAAAAAAAAAAAAACCAGUGGUCUAAGUCUGUGCCUUGCUUUCCGACGGGAAACAAUCAUUAAUUCUAAAUACAUAUGCAUAGCAUGAUGAUAUUGUGCCUCGGGUACACAAACCAGUGCAAUUAGAACAUCACGAUAAUUAUUUACCCAAAGAGUUUUAUACUCUAUAGAUUAUAAAUAAAUAAAUUAGCUCUCUUUCUAAAAAUUAUCAAGCAAUAUACUGUGUGAGAUAUAGAUUAAACCUUUACCAUAAAGUUUUAAAGUACUCUAUUGGUAAAAUAGGCAUGGAUGGAGAAUGAAAAUGGCUUCUCCAUCAAAGUAAACCCCUUCUUCUUCUUUUUUCCUUUCUUUUUAAUCCAUUUUUUGCAUAGCUUAUAUCUGUGCUCACAUGGAAUGGAACUCAUGCAAUCAUCACUGUUAAAGGGGAAAAGGACUUAAAAUAACUCCUAGAUCACAUGGGUAUUGGAAUCUCAUCAAUACUAUUUAAUUUCUUUUUUCAAUAUAUAUAUAUAUAUGCUAAUAAUAUUCCAAAGCAUACCAGAUUCAUAGUGUGUAAAUCUCCUCUUUGCUGGCAUUGGUAUUGUCCCAUGUACAUUGAUAAAAUUAAUGCAAGUAAAUUGAAUAUUAUAAGUAGACUGUAACUAUUUUUUUAUUAUAUUAAUAAUUAUUUAAAAAUUUAUACAGGUGCAGUGAGUCGCUCUCAACCCAAAUACUGUUUGGGGUUUGUUUGUUUUUUUUCUUUAAAAAAUUGAAAUCCUUGACGAUGAAGAUUGAGCCUCAAGGUAUUGUUAAUUUUUUAUUUAUUGCACGAAGUUGACAUUGUGUUAGGUGAUUUUUAUAGGCAGAUAGAACAUUCCCUUUGUAGAUCAAAGCUUAUAAAUAUACUAGAUUAGUGUGUUAAUAUAUUUAAUUUGUCGUAACAUGAAGAUUGUAGUUAAAAAAUAAUUAAUAUGAAUUAGUAGUUUAUCAUCACAAAAACAUGCUAAACAAAACUAUGUUCUAGAAAAUACUAGAAAUUAUACAUGUUUAAAUUAAUUAUACUUAAAUUAAAAUAAAUAAAUAAAAUACUUCAUCGGUUAAACUCUUCAUUCACGAAGAAUUAAUAAGGAUUAAUUUUUACUAUUACCAUUCUUUAAUUAGCCACCAUAAACCAAUAAUUAAAUCUAAAAAAUCAAAGAUUCUUUGUUUCUUAUUCAUCCAUAAUUUUUUUUCAUUAAAACAAACUUCCAACAUCUAUUUUGUUUAAUUUCCCUUCAACUCAUUAACAUACAUUAUAUUCUCCCCACUAAAUAUUCUAUUUAGUAAUGUCGCUUAACUUUUUCUAAAAAUAUUUUUUAUUUAAAAAAUAUUAAAUUGAUGUUUUUAAAUGUUUUUGAAAUUAUUUUUAAUAUAAUAAUAUAAAAAAAUAAAUUAUUUUAAAAUAUUUUUAAUUAAAAAUAUUUUUUUAUAAAAAUAUCAUGCACAAUAUUAUCAUACCAACAUUAAAUAAAGUGAGAGAUGAGAAGAUAAAAGAAUUAUUGGAAUCACCUAAAAAAGGUUUGCUAAAGCAAUACCUAAAAAUCAAGAUGAUUCUUAAAAGUGUAAAACGCUUUUCCCAUCCUUUAUGGAAGUUUCUUGUAUCCUUCACAAACGCAGACAAAAAAUGAGAGCAUGCAAUUAUCAAAAUAAAUAAAUAAAUAAAAUUAAAUUAAAAAUCAUGCACAUUGCACAAUGUAUCAUGAUGUGCAUCACAUCACAUACAUGAUAUGAAUCAUGUAUUCCCAUUUGCCACUCCCCUUGAUGAUUGCUGCACGUCCGAGUCGCCAUGUACGCACGUGUAAACAUAGACUAAGUGCAGGGUAGUGGCCCUAGUGGGGCACCCCUUUUUUAGCAAACCGGAUUUUCUUUUUUAUUUUCCUUUUUUUUUCUUUGUUCCUCUCAAUUUUACCUUCUCGGAUGCUUCUCAUGCAUAUUCAACCAUGCCGUUUUUAAUGCAUAACGAUUAGUUUGAUUCUUCUAGGGAUCAAUUUAAUGAAAACAUUGAUUAAGUUAGAAUUUAGAACAUAUUAAAUUUCACAUGAUAAUAUCUUUCACCGGUAUAUUAACUUAGAAUCCAGCCUAAAUUGAUAAUUUAAUUUAUUAAUAAUCAGACGAGUUUAGAUAUUAAUCCAGUUAAAUAUAGAUGAAUAAAUAAAUUAAUCUAGAGUCAUUUUAAAGUUUAAUGUUAUUUGACCUGAUAAAUUCUAAAAAAGUAAUUCAAUUUUUAUUAAAAAUAACUUUGUUUCAUUAAAAAAAAGUGAAAUGAGCGAUUUAUUAUUAUAAUUUAGAAUCAAAUUAAUUAAUUAAUUACCCUAGUAAAGGAAGAGGCCAAAGAAAAUCCCCGCCCCGCUUUCGCUUUCGAUCGACAUGCUAAAGCGGAGGAAAUCGCCGAAGACUCCAGCGCAGAGUCAAGUCCACGCACAACAUCAGGCGAGCACUGGCAUCAUGACACCUGUAAUUACUAUUCGUAUAACAGAGCUCCACCUACCAUUACUGGCUAGCCUAGUAUGGUGACGGCGAUGUGAAGAUCGCCAUGGACGUGCAUGUUUCGACAUGAAUAAACUGGAAGACAAGGAAGGCAGAGACAGAGAGGUAGAGCUAGGGUUUCCGAUCAGGAAAUGCUUUUGCUCAAUGCAUCGAGCAAGACGACAAAUAAGACUACAAGAAUGAGCUGCAAUUUGGGGCUACACUCCUCUCUCUUUCUACAUGUUUGUUUCUGAACCUAUGGCCUGGAAUAUAUGCUUGCGCUUUGCAGUGCGAACCAGCCCCUCGGGCUCAGCCUCCCCCAGGACAACAAAUAAGGACACCGGACAAAAAGUUAACUAGGCGUGUUUUGCAGGUUCACGGUCCAGUUUUUUCAAAUAAUUGUUAGGCCCCAGCCCUACGAUACCACUCUUUUUGCAUUAAAAAUGGCUUGUUAUUAUAUACAUAUAUAUAUAUAUAUAUAUAUAGUCACUUCAAUGGCGCAGGGCCCUUCCUAUGGUUCUCGUUCUCUCCCUUGUGUAAGGAAGGACACUAGACAAUUUUCUGUUGGCUUGUAGACUUCGAGCUUAAAGGGAUGACUCAUCUAGGAAUAUUAUUUUAAAGUUUUUUUUUUUUAAUAUAAAAAAACCAAAUGAACCACCCACAUUAGUGUGGCGUUGAUGAUAGUGAUUGAAAUUGGGUGGUGAUUGGUAGGUGCGGCAGGGUUCUUUUUUGCCAAGAAUCUCUGCGAGGGCAUCGUCACAAUUUCUUUUACUCCACGGGCAAAACAUAAUUUACAAGACCAGAUCCUGGCGUGUAUAUACAUCACCAAAAUUAACCACAAGAGCCAAUCCUCCUAGAGUUGUGUGAUAGCAUCGUCUCACCAAAAGGAGAGCCCCUGGUUCAUGACCACCUAGAGUUAUUGGCAUUUAAAUAGAAACAAAGACAUGCGCAGAGCGCAGUCACAAAAUUACAUUAAAUCCAAAUAAACUAUACUCCAUUAAUCCAAAACCUUCAAAAUAUUCCAAAAUCAAGAUCCUCCAACCAGACUAAAUAGAUAAUCAUUGUAAUUGGCGUCUAUCACCACCACCCAUAACCGAAACCCCCCUUCCCCCACUCACUCUAUUCAUUAUUAUUUACAUUUUAGCUCAUUUUAUAUAAUUACUAGCACUGCUUAAACACCUUGACCUCACAUGAUAGAGCAUGCAUUAGGGUUCUCAUCAUUGAACUGCAAAUGAUCUGGGUAAGCCUGAACUGGUCGAUAGCCCUGGUGCGGUGCAUGCCCGAAUCCAUACUCCUGAUGCGGUGCAUGGCCGAAUCCAUACCCAUUCCCGUAAUCCGGUCCAUGUGAAGCAUAAACAGGUUGACCCACAUAACCAUUUGGUCCAUUUCCAUAUAUUGGCUGACCCAUGUAUCCGAAUCCAGGUUGCACCGUCAACUCCAUCCUGUUGAUCUCUUCCAAUUUUGCAGCAGCAGCAGCAGCAUCUUGCCCGCCACCUUUCUUCUUUCCACCGCCACCUUCAGCAGCAUUAUCAGCUUCCUUACCACCUUCCUUACCACCUUUCUUCUUCUUCGGUGGCACAAUGUCCACUGGCCUCUUAAGCCUCUCCUUCAAAGUCUCAGCCAAAGCCUUCACGUCCAUCGUCCCUUUGACCGUCACCAAUUCCGUCUUUGUGUCAAUUCCUAUCUCUUGCACACCUACAAAAAAUUAAAAUAAUAAAGUUGAUUAGUACUUAAUAAUUACUAAUUAAUCAGCAGCAUUAAAAAAUUUAACGCCGUGACUUGAACGGAAGGGAAGAUUUUGAAAACGUAUAUACCUUUGGUCUUGAGGACUAUCUUUUGAAUCUUCUUAAUACAACCCUGGCAGUGAAGUCCCAGCUUUAGUACCGCCGUGCUCACCGGAGCCUGUUAACAUUUAAAUAAUAACGGCAAGUCAUUAAUUAAUUAAUCAUAAAUCAUUACAAUUAAUAACAAAAGAAUCCCAACAUUAACCAAAAAAAAAAAAGAAGGUAAAAACAAAGGCUUAGGCUCUAAAUUUUUUAAGCAAUACCUCUUUUGGUUUAGCAGCAGAGUCUGGUUUUUUGUCAUUGGAUUUCUUGUCCUCUUUGUUGCUGCUGCCGUUGUUAUUUUUGUUGGUUUCUUGUUUUUGGGGUUGUGGAGAGAUGAGGUCGACCUGCUUCUUGGUUUUAAGGUGGAGAUAGUCUCUGACUUUCAAAGGAUCAAUCUUUCCUGUAACAGCAAGCUUGUUUGAAGAUGGCUCUGCUUUCACUGUCUCUACGCCUACAAAAACCCCAAAAACAAAACCCAUUAAAGAAACAGCAAAAACCCAGUUGCAGGAUCUGCAUAGCAAAAAAGGCAAUAGAAAUCUUAUACUGAGAAGGAGAAAAACAGAGUAAAAAGAGAUAAUCUUUAGAAUCUGCUUAUGCAAAAAAAAGAAGAAAAAAAAGCCCAAUAAGGUUAAAAGAAAAUGGGUACCUUCAAAAGCACGAACAGAUUUGACAAUUUUAGAAACACAUCCUUCACAAUGCAUUUCCACUUUCAAAACCACAGGGACUGGGCCUUUCUCUUCCUUCUUUCCUCCCCCGUCACUGCCUUUGCUUUUCUCUUCCUCUUUCUUCUCUACUUCGUUGUUGUUGUUGCUGUUGUUGCUGUUGUUGUUUUUCUUCUGCAAAACAGAAAGGAAAAAAACCCAUUAUAGCUGAUUAGAAAGGAUCCAAAUAUAAACUAUGAGUUAACUCAGAGAAAAAGGUAACCUCUAGUUUUGAGUGGGUUAACUCACCUUAGCCAUUGUGAGUUACAGCGCGGUUUCUGAUUCUAGAGAAUGGUGGUACCAGGGGUGAGAGAGAGAGCGAGGAGUCUUAUACAGAAUGUUGGAGUCCUAUUUAUAGGGGAGUGAAUGGAGGAGGGCAGUUAUGAGUACAUGAUGAUGAUGGUAAAUCACAUGUAUGUAUGUCAUGUAAUCACACCAUACCAUAGCAUAAACAAAUCAUAGCAAUGUAAAGUGGACUUUGUUGGAUUUAUGUGCUUUCUAAGGUUUUGGGCAUGUUUCUCGGUGGGGAAGGACCGAAGGAGAGACGUCUGUGUAUUUCCUGGCAGGAAAGCCCAUUGUAAAGCCUUCAUUGGAUUUAUUGGGUUGCGUCUCUCUGUCUCUCUGUCUAUUUGUCUGUGUUAAUGGAAUGGCUUUAAAUUUGGUGGAUGUGACACACUCACUCUCAAGUAAUUGACACCUUGUUAAAGCUUCUUCCCAUGGUGCUAAGCGUGUAAAUCAAUCGACUGUAACUACACCCACGUACAUUGAUUUUGCUGCUGAUACUGUGUGCAUUGUUCCUCAUUGUGUAAGACUUCCGAAGUGAUGAUUGAAGCUUCCUUUGAUGAAUAUAGCGUAAUGUGGAAGUUGAUAGGGGAAGCAUCUAUGAGUUGCAAGGUGACAAGUUCUUCCCCUCUUUUGGGCGGGUCUUGGAUAUGAGUUUAAUCCAGAAACAUGCGAGUAAUGUGGAAGUUGAUCUUAAAUAUUCCAUUAACUGAAAUAUGUAUAGAAAAGUGAAUUGAAUGCAUCUAAACCAAGUAAUUCUUUCGUUUCAUGCCAAAUGAAUUGUUGAUUUAUAAAUAUAUAUAUUUUUACCAAUUUAAAAACUAACGAGAAAUUUAUCCUUGUUAAGAAGCUAGAUAUGAAAAUUUAAUUAUCUGUUUUUAGAUCACGAUCUUGAAGAUGCACCUCUAUAUGUAUAUGUAUUAGAAAAAUUAUAUAAAUUCUCAUAGAUGAUUCUUACAAAUAAUGCAUGUAUUAUGCUCAAAUUCUAAAUCAAACGAUUAUGCAUGAUUAAUUUAUAAACUUAUUUGAAAUCAAUAGGCAGGUAUUUAGUGCAUCAAAUAAAUAAAACUUUUGCGCAAUUGCAGUCUAGCGAGGAAUUUCUCCUUGAGGAACAAAAAUAAUUGUUUACCUAUUAAAUUUCUAUAUCUUUGCUAUUGGCCAUUCAAUAUUAAAUAAUAAAAUUAAAAUAUUAAAUUAACAAAAAAUAUAUAAAAAUAAAACAAUAUUAAUUCAAUUCAAUAAUGUUUUAUAUUUAAGGUUUGAUAUUAUAUUUCUCGUUUGGUUUUUCUAAUGUUUUUUUUGUUAAUUUUAUCAUUUUAUAAUUUGAUUUAUGAAGUUUGUUGAUUAUUAUUUUUUUAUUAUAUUGAUUUAUUAAUUAUUUUUCCUUCUUAAAAUAUAAUAACAAUACUUUGAUAUUAUUUUUUUCAGCUGCAAAGAAAUUGACCAGAUUCACGGCGAAUCACGAACAUCAAUCUAGUUAUGUUAUAAUUUGAAGUAGGAUCACUUGCCCCUCACUGAAGAAGUUCGCAAGCAAAUAUAUAUCUAACUUCAAAUUACUUUCUUAUUGAUUUAUAUCAACUAGUCAUCUCGUUACGUACUGUACACACAUGUGACAUAUAUUGUUCAAGUAUUUUUUAUGAAUAUUUGUGAAAUAACAUAGAAAACUAAAAUGGAAACUAGUAUCUUUUGUUAUAAUUGUUAAACCCGGUCUAGAGAUUUAGCCGGCUAAAAAACUGGAUUUCAAUUUUAUAGGUUAACUUAUAAAAUCAAGGUUAUUUAAAGGAUUGGUUGGGUUAAAGUAUAUCUACACUCUCUAGCUCCUUGACAUGCUUUCUAGGACAAACUUGUCUCUGUUUCUCUAUCACUUUAACCUCCUCUUUCACUCCUUCCUUUUUGCUUUCAUUUAGUGCACAUCAAAAGAGCUCAGCUUUCUUUGAAUCUGCCUCACCUCAUUUUAAAAGCCUUUCCCCUGGGGUGAACACCAUACAUCCUGCUGUCUCGGGACGACGACACCUUACAUCAUAACAGAACGACCAAAUAAGGGUGGAAACCCUGACUCUUUGGCGAAGAAACCUCGCUUCUGGGCUCAUAAUCGUAGCUCUUUUGCAUGAAUCUGCUCUUAUUGCCUGCUAUUGAAUUAGAUGCAAGUCUUUUGAAAUGCCUUAGUAACCUCCUUCAUGCCAUUGUCGACAUAAAUAUUCUUUUUUUUUUCUUUUUCAUUGGUAGAUUGUGAAGCAUAGUCCUUCUUUGGCACUCGAAUUAAUAAUUUUCAGGGAACAAACUCAAGACCUGAUUAAUUAAGUUAUAUUUUUAAAGAUUACUCAGUUUUUAGAGAGAUUAUUUUUAUUUUGUUGUGUUGCUGUCUAGGGUGAAGAAGUUUUAUUAGGGGUUGUUGUUGCAGAACUAAUAGCUUUGAUUAGAAUAUCACCUUGGUCAAUUUUUUUUUUGUUUUGAAAAGGAAUAUUUAAUUCCCUGGCUUUUGUACCGUUAUUUGUUGGGGGGGAAAAUAAUUAUCUAAGGCUUAGUCAUCUGUUUUUUUAGAGCUAAUAAAAAGAGAUGAUUUGUAUUCUUUUUUCCAAUCAUGUAUGUCUGUUUUGUCAGACGUUAGAGAAUGAAUUUCCAGUAAAAAAAUCUUUUGACAACAUGAGAACGUGGUUGCCCUUUUAUCAAACAAUUAAAUUGGAUAAAAACUGCUGCUUUGGCACCGUAUGAGCACUGCGUUCUUCAAAAAAAAAAAAAAUUAAAAAAAUUAAAAUUUUUUAUAUUUUGAGUUGUUUUAAUGCAUUAUCUCAAAAAUAAUUUUUAAAAUAUAUAAAAAAUAUUAUUUUAAUAUAUUUUAGUAAAAAAAACAUUUUUUAAUAUAUUUACGUUGUCAGUAAAAGAUCAAGUAAAGUUUGUUAAGGAUGCCGACAGAUGCAACAAAAAAAUGUUUGAAAUUGCAUACAAUCUUAUUAGAUAAUUAAGUUAGCGAAGGGAAAAUCAAUUCAUGUAUUAAAUUUGAUUGGUGGCUGCAUGCAUAACCGCCACACCGUAAAACAAAAAAUCCUAUUUAAAAAAGAAGUUUAUUGUAAAAAAAAAAAAACAUAAUUAAAAAAACUAAAAGACAAAUAUUGAUGAAAAUAUAUCAUAUAACAACAAAGAUCUUUUACUCGGUUUUGUUUAGGCAAUUUAUUUAUUAAAAUAAAUUAGUAACAUCAAUUAACACACACAUAAAAAUUUAAAAAUGAAAAAAGGGAAGAAAAAACUAUAAUGUUUUUAAAAAAUACAAAUAAAUCAUAUUAACCUCUUCAAAAACUAAAUAGACCAAUAUAAUUAAAAAAAAUUAGUUUCAAUUUAAAAAGUACUAGAUAUGCCACAAAAAAAUAACACAGGGAUGUUAAUCAAAGCAUAAAUUGUAGAAAACUUUUUAAAAAGAUAUAUAAAAAAGAUAUUUAUUAAAAACACAAAAAAAAAAGAGAAAAAUAAGAGAAAACAAAUGAGAGUAAGUGCUGCUAUGCCCGGUGAGUUAAGCCGAAUGCCUGUUCGCGGGCCCUUUUUUUUCAAGUUAAUGGGGCAGGUCUUGGGCUGGCAUAGGUUUCAAAAGUAAUUAGGGUAAAGUACAAAAAACAUUUAAUGGUUAUAUUUGAUUCCAAAUCAUAAAAAAUCAGCAUAUCUCGUAAAAAAAUAAAAAUAGGUUACAUGCUUUUUUUUAUUUAAAAAAUACAAAAUUUGAUACAAAGUUAAAAAAAAAUAAUUCAAUAAAACAUUUGAGGACUAUGGUUAAUCUCUCUUAGUUCCUAACCUGGCCCAACUAAUACACUUGAUUUGCAUAAGUUUAAUGUUCAAGGGUGAGAUAAUUUCAUAUAAUUUUUUUUAAAAAAUAAUUUUAAAAGAACAAGAUCUAACAAAAAAAAUACCAAAAAAAGAGAGGCAAUACUAUGUUAAUUUAAUUUCGAAGUAUGGAAUAAAUGAAAUCAAGUGCUGCUAUGCAUGGUAAAUGAGGCCAAAUGCCUGGUCGCAAGCCUUUUGUUUUCAUGUUAAAGGGGGUAGGUCUGUUUUCAAGUUCAUGUUAGGAGUGAUUGGGACAAAGAAAAUCAAAUUUGGUGGUUAUAUUUUAUUCAAAUAAAAAAAACAUUUUUUAAAAAUAAAUUGGACAUAUGUCAAAAAAACAAAACUCCAGGUUACAUGUUUUAUUUUAUUUUUAAAAAUGCAAAAUCUCAUAUGAAGUUAAAAACAAAUGUAAUAAAACUUUUGGUGAUGAAGAGAAAAAUUAACAAAGAAAUGAAAAAAAAAAAAUUAAUCAGGGUGAGUUUUCUUAACAAAGGUUAAUUUUUUAAAGCUGCAAAUCAUUUAGUUUCAAACCUUCGCCUAACAAAGAUGCUCGAUAUAAUACAAAUUUAAUAUUGAAAAGUGAGGCAAGUUAAUUAUUAUUUUUUAAUAAAAAAUAUUUUCAGGAAGAACAAGAUUUAAAAAACUAAAUAAGGCAAUUUCAGAUCGAUUUAAUUUUAAAGGAUGAAGAAAAUUAAAUAAGUCUAAUUUAUAUAUAAAAAAAACUAUCUUGAAUGAGGUGGAUCUAGCAAAGGCAAAGAAAAAAAAUACGAGGUCAUCCAUUUCACUCCAACAAAGCAAAAGAAAUCUUAUAAGAACUGUGAGAAAAUGUUAGGUUACAAAAAACAAAAAGUCCAACUCAACCUAUCUUAACUUUUAUAACUUGUGACUCAAGAUAUGAGAUGAGGAUAAAGUAAAAAAAAUUAAAAAAUCAUAACAAAUUACAAAACUCAAGACCCAAUAUGUUAGUGUCAAAUUAUGAUAAUUGUUGCAUGUGUGCAGCGUCGUGGUGAUGUGUCCACUCUAGGAUUGUAUAUGGAAAAUGGGUGAGACAAGGGUUUCUUGUCUUUUAUUAGUGGAAAGAGAAUAAAAGUCGUCAUCUAGUAUUUUUGUCACUAGAAACCUUAAUCGGUCUCAGUAAUCGGUUACGAAGAUUAGUUGCGUAAAUAAAAAGUAUUAGCACCCCAAAUACACGUUACUUGAAGUAAGCUGUAUUGUUUAAUUGUUUGAUAAAGGUGAAAUUAUUGUUGUGUUUCCUAAUCAUUGGGCAUGUCUAAGUUUUAAGUUAAGUCCUCCUCGGUAAGUGACACGAUCAAAGAGUUGAUGUCUUCUUCCAAGUGCAGAAGUGUCAAAGUAAUAAAUAACUCGGCAAAAUCGAGGUCGAUUCACAUGGAGGUCAACUAUAUAAAUUAUAAAUAAUAUAUAUAAUUUAACAAAGAGUUACAGAGAUCUUUGAGAUGUGAGAAUAAUGAGAGGAUUAAACAAUGAUAAAAAUAAUUGUCAAUGUUAGAGGAUUCACUAAUGGUAUUAAAAAUAAGUAUAGUAUAAACUCUUUUUAUUACUCAAAUGGAAACCACACACAAAGAAGGUUCCAAUCGGAUGAUUUAUAUUUAAUAUUUUAUUAUAAAAUUUUAACAUGAUUAUAUUAAUUAUCUUAUUUUAGUAACAUCAUAUUUUUAAAUAUUGUCUAUUCAUGAUGCUAACUUAUGUUAACAACAAAUCAAGUUCCUCUCAUAACAACGAUGUCAGCUGAAGACUAUGAAGGAUCAAGCAUUUUAUUGUACCAAGUGUUAUACAACACAAAUCUAGAUUAAUCAUUUAACAAGGAAGGUAUUAAGAAUUAGUAAGAUAAAAAGAUAAAACAUAUUAAUAACAAACUUUCUUGGAUAUAAACAUUGAAGUCCAUGUUGAGUUUAUAUUAUAGAUAUUCUAACAUCAUUUAUGAAACCUUUUCACUUUGACAUAAUUAACUUAGAUAAACAUUAUGAAGAAGAGAAAUAUAAAUAAAAAAAAGAUACGAACAUAAUUAUGAUAUAAGUUAACUAAGAGUAGUAAAGGAAAUGAAAAUAAAACAUGACAUAAAACUUGAACAUUACAAAGAGAGAAAGCAAGAAAAUGAUUUUGAUUUAAAAACUAAGAUGCCUAAAUAUAUGACAAAUGCCUUCUUUUAUAGGCUAAAAAGAACUAUUCAUUUUGUAAUUAACUAUUGAAUUAGUGGCAACUAUUGGCUUAAUGGACUUGGUGGUUUAGGUGUGGAUUUGUUUUAUGGAUGAAAUGGUGUUGUUCCAAUCAGAAUUUGGCAAAGUGGUCUUCAUAAAAGUUAUAUGAAUCUAUCUUAGCUUUCCAUAAAAAAAAAAAGUGCUCAUUUAGAUUUUUAGAACCCGAGAUAUGAAUUGAACACUGAACAAUGUCUAGGCUGCAGGACAUAUUCGGGCUUCUCUUUUGAUGAUAAGAUUUGUACUCGAAAAUUAUAGAAUUGAGUCUUAGACUCUUCAUGAAUGUUUUAGGCCUAUGUCUUAGCUUUCUAGCCAUAUAAAUCAACAGAAAUCCAAUAUCUACAGCUCCAAAUAUGACCCAAUGACUGAAUGGUGUUCUAGUUUGAUUUGAACUAGCAUCUCUUCUAUAAGCUUUGUCAUUUCUUUGUCUUUUUAUUUUCAAUAGUUAAUCACAUAAAUCAAUCCUUUGAAUUGUGAGAUAUGCAUGCAUUUAAAAUAAGCAUUUACCAUAAAUUAAAGUUGUCUUAUAUUAUCAUACUUUUUAUUAUAAAACAUACUUUAAGUUAGGGAAUUUAAUGAUAUUUUAAGUAAAUAUGAUGAUAUAAAGCCUUAAUGAGAAUGCAAUUUUAAAUACUAAUCACACUCCCCAACCAGCUUAUUCGAAGGGCGUGAUUAAUACUUAAUGAUACUUUAAAUACUUAUCACUUUUAAGGUGAGAGAGAUAGAGUUCACACCGGCUACUCUAUCUCUGGCGAGGAGUUGGGUUAGUGGUGGUCAAGCUGGUGGUGAACGAAGGCCACAGUGGAGCGAGAAAGAAAGAAGAAAAGGUGGCAGAGAAGAAAAAGCUUAGGGAAAAAGAUAUUUUUUUUUUUAUCGAUUUUGGACCUAAUUUUCUCUCCCACUUUAGCCAUGAAAAUCAAAUCUAUUUAUAAGGGGUGGAAGAUGGACAUUUUGUCUCUUGUGGUGUCAAAUAUCAGCCCUUGGUUCGGCCUGAAAGCAUCCCAACCAUUAGUUGAAAAUAGCAAUGAUGAAUUAUCAAUUUUGUGCAGAAAAAUGUUUGGUCAGGUUGGCUACUUUUGGGUGGUGCCACCGCUUUUUAAGCAUUGAUCAACUUGAACGGUUAACACUGGCAUGUAGUGAAGUGUCAAGUGAUUAUUUUGGUGAAUGUUUUGUCGAAUUUAAGGGAGAAACAAGACGUCAAAUGGCUUGGGAAGGAGGCCGCUUAAACAGCCUCUCUAAAAAAGAAGAUGAACAAUCAUAUUUAAAACAACGUUGUUUUGACCAAUUGCAUUUUAGUCCUUUAAUGAGUGAUUUAUUCCUAAUUACACCCUUGUUUGGCUUCAAACUUUCAAUUUUAUUCAAUUUUACGCUUGACGAAUUUCAAUUCAAGCCCCAGAUUUCAACGCUUUUUCUCUUUGGUCAUUGGUUUUGGAUUUAUGCAAUUUGACCGUCAAUUGAUCAAUAAACUUUCAAUUUCUUCAAUUUAACCCUUGAUUCGCUCAAUUUAACUUCCUCUAUUUCGCGCCUUUUCCAGUUUGGUCUUUGGUUUUGGAUUUAUUUAAUAAAGUCUCUAAUUGGCCAUCAAACUUUAAUAUUUAUGCAAUUAAACCCCUGAUUUGACCAAAUCAAUUUUUAAUAAAUUAUAAUUUUACCCCUGAACUUUAACUUCUUCUAAUUAAAGCCCUAUUGACUUACAAAAGAAUUUUUCUUGCAAUCAAACCCUCCAUAAAAUCAAUUAAACCUUCAAUAAAAUUACGAGUCCUUGAAUAUCUUAUUUUUAACUUUUCUUCCUCAAGUUGAAUUUACUUUGGCAAUGAGGCCUUCAUUAGUAAAAAAAAAAUUAUACUGUCAAAUUUCAAUCUUUGUAUUUUUGAACUUUCUUAACCAACUUUUGGUUAUUUUUUAAGCGCUCUAACAUCCUCUUCUCACUACUAUUAUUUUUUUUUAAUUUUUUUUCAAAUAUAUUUUUUGACUUUUUUUGUAUUUUUUUAAUUUUUUGUGUGAGGAUACAAAAAUAGGUAAUAAUAGAUGUCCCCUCUUUAUAAUGUGGACGAAGCAAAGACUAAUUAAGUGCUUUACAUAAUAAGUUUUGUAAAGAUAUACAAAAUGGUUUUUCUGAUACUGAUCUUCUUAAAACUUUAAUUCGGUUGAUCUGAAACUCUAAACUUUGCAACAAUCUCCUUCAACUAGAACUAUGAUCGAAACUGUGUACAUCUUGAUUAUCUUGAGAUCCUGAUCUUACGAUCCUCUAAAUUCUGUCUUUAGUUGGGUUAACCUAAAAUCCCAUCUGGUGAUUCCCUUUAACCAAAACUUAAAAAAUAUUCUUCCUGAUGGCAGGGUUUGGAAUUUCUUCUUUCUUUUAAGAAUUUUCUAAUGGUAGGGUUCUUCUCACCUUUUCUUUCAAUGCUAAGAUAAUGUUGGUGGCCCAGUCAAUCUGAGAUCUCAUCCGACGAUCUUAUUUAACCAGAAUCAAAGUCUGUGUAGCUUGAUCAACCUGAAAUCCCAUCUGCUGACUCCUUUUAACCAAAAACAAAAUUUAUAUGUGUGGUUGGGUUAACUUAAGAUCUCAUCUGAUGAUCUCCUUUAACUAGAACCAAAACCUGUAUGUAGCUCGCUCAAUCUGAAAUUCUAUCUAGCGAUUUCCUUUAAUCAAAGCUAAAAUCUCUAUUGUAGUUAAUUUAACCUGAGAUCCUAUUUUGUGAUCCCCUUUAACCAGAAUCAAAAUCUGUAUGGUUGGGUUAACCAAAAAUCUCUUUUGGCGACCUCUUUUAACCAGAACCAAAGUUAAAAUUUAUGUUAGUUACGUUAACUUGAGAUCCUAUCUGGUGAUCUCUUUUAACCAGAACCAGAGAAAAAAAAAUUGUGUUUGCGGUUAGGUUAACCUGAGAUCCUAUCUGGCGACCUCCUUUAAUUAGAACUAAAUAAUGUGUUCUUCCUGAUUACAAGGUUCAAACUUGCUUCUUUCUUUUUUAGAAUUUCCUAAUUGUAGGGUUCUUCUCACUUUUCUUCUUGAUGAUAAGGUUUCAUGGUGAUGGUUUUUUUUUCAAGAUUGACAUCUGUCCUUCCUAGAUUUUUUUGAUGAAAGGUUUGAAAAACUUGGUGCUUCCUGAUUACAGGGUUGACUUGAUAAUUCUCAUUUGCGGGGUUUGAAAACUCGGUGUUUCCUGAUUGCAGAGUUGACAUGAUACUUCCUGAUCUCGGGGUUUGAAAACUCAGUACUUCUUGAUUAUAGGGUUGUCUAAAGACUAUUUCUACUGACACGGUUGAUCUUCUCAUUUCUUUAAUAUUUUUCUAAUGGUAGGGUUCAUCUCAUCUUAUUCUUAUUCUUAUUCUAGGGUCAAAACUGUGAUUCUUUGUUAUUAUCAACUUAAUUAUUCUUUCUUUGUCCACAAUCUUACUGAAUUUCAUUGAGGAUUUUUCCUAUAAUAAUUCAAAAACAUUCAUGCAAUGAUUUAAAGUUAGAUGAUGUGCAUGCAUUCUUACCUAGUUUGGAAACAUAGGUCCUAUCAUUUUCUUCAAUUUUGUAAAACUCUCUCUUGACAUGAGCUUGUUCACAUGUUUGAAAUUGUAUACUGGAUUCGUUUCUCAUGCUAUCUCUCUUACCCAUCACAUCUUCGAGAAGAAGUCUCCAACUUUUUAUAGGUGGCCUUUUUCUAAAAAAUAUAUGAUUUGUCAUUGCUUUUUAUCAUGCUCUUAUCAAUGUUUUAACCUGUCUUUUUCAAAUUAAGGGCUUUUUGGUUUUGUUUCAGCACGUAAAUCUUUUUGUGAAAACUGAAAAUUUCAAUAUAAGCAUCAAAAACUCUUUUAAGCAAUUCCUCUUGGGGUUUUGUUUGUUUUUUUAGAAUGUGGUUUGUUUUAGUUUUUUUAGGUCAAGAUUGCAUCAGAGAUGGCCUUCUGUUUCAGUUUUUCAAAAGGUUUCAAGUAUUGACUUGAAAGAAAUGGUGUGAAGAAAAAUGAAUUGCCUUAUGUUAGGAUUUAACAUUUUUCUUGCAUAGACAAAAGUGGGUCAUUACUCUUUUAUUGUUAUAAGAAUAGUAAGACCAACGUCUAUCAAUCCAGGUUAUACGUGCUUGAUUAGAAAUGACUUCUAAAGGCACACAAUGCAAGGUAUGGAUGUGGGCUUUGAAAUAAAUGGAUGCUUUCGAAGCUCAAAACGUGUUUAAGGGUUUGACGACAUAGGAUCACUUCUCUCUUGCCUCUUUUUUUUUUGUUUUAUGGAGUUGUCUCAUAGACUAUAUUCUUUUUAAAGAAUAAACUUGCUUAAGGAUUUUUAUCUUAGUCUUACAACAUCAUAAUCUCUCUCCCUUUUCUUUUUUUUAUGCCCCCUUGUGUUAGGUUUUGACUUUCAUAUAUCAAUGUGUGCAUCUUGGCAUUUUGCUCAAAUUUUUUCUCCUCAUUCUUCUUAACUCUUUCUCAAUUAUUGGAUUUUCUUCCUUAACAUGCCCUUUUCCCAUUAAUUCUAUUAUUGUCUCCAUCUUUCCUAAUGAAAUAUCUCUUAUUGCCUCUAGUGUAAAGUGUAAUCCUAAUCAAGGUUUUUAUAAAUAAGAAAUUCAUUCCAUUUAAAAAGGGACAAGGGAUAUAAUCUUUAGACAGUGAAGGGAUAACGAAAAUGCUAUACAGAGAUAGGAUUUUAUCUCAGGGUUAGCUUUGGUUUAUUCUCUUUACCAAUAAUUGCUUAAAUUUUAUCUUUGAGUGUUUUAUGAUACAUUCCUUAUAAUCAUGCACAAACAUCGUUUGGUGUAUGAUUUUUUAUUUUAAAUUAUAAUUUUAAUAUAUAUAUAUAUAUAUAUAUAUAUAUAUCUUAAAAUAAGUUUAAGUUGAAAGUAUAUUUGAUAUAUAUGACUUUAAAUAUUUUUUUAAAGUUGUAGCAUAAGGUAAAAAUAAAAGUUUUAUUUUUUAUUAAAUCAAAAUUUUAACUCAGUUAUAUAAUAAAUUUUUUAUUUAAGUAAAAAAUAUUUCUAAUAAAAUAUGCUUAUAAUUUUCCUUUGAAUCAAAAGUUAAAAAAUAAUUUAAAUCAAUUUGCAAAAGCAUACAAACAUAACCUUAGUCAACUCUUAAUACUGUCAUUGAUGGAGCAUAGAGGUGUACAAUAAGACUAUCUAUUAGAAUUUAAGGUCUCUGUCACACACAAAUAAGAUAAGAUAAGAUAUGAUUUUGUCUUAUUUUUAACGUCUAAAUCUUUAUCCCAUCACUCUUUGGGAUCAAACUUAUCCAAGUGUCUUUUCCACACUAUCCGUUCUCCUAUUUUCCUAAAUUCAAAGACACAAUUCACUCUUUUAGACCUUGAGCUUUUUUCAUAUAUCUUAUUAUAAAAAAAUAUAUUACAUUUAAUAAAAAUAAUUUUACUCAAAUAAGUUUUUUUAAAAAAUACAAUAUUAAACUUAUAACUUUAAUAUAAUUUUAUUUAUUAAAUUAAAGAAAUAUAUUACUAAAUAAAAUAUUAUUUAAAAUAAAGUAAAUAUUAAUUUUAAUAUUUUAAUAAAUAAAAUAAUUAUUUAAGAAAAAUAAAGAAAUUGGUUAUUUUUAACAAAUUAUUCUAUUUAAGGAAUAAAUAAUAACUAAAUAAAAUAAUAUAAAAUGAUUUAAUUUCUUAACAUAAAUGAUUUAAUUUUAUCAAUUGAUUCACAUCAAAAGAGUGAUUUAGUUUUCUUAAUUAGAUUAGUGUUUUUAUAUUUAUUUGUUCUAUCCCAUAAUUAAUGUAUAUUGAGCAAAAUUGUUUAUCCCCAAAGUGAUAUCAACUGCCACCCAUUAAUGUAUAUUGUGACACAUUACACGCACAAAUCACUAUCACAAGGAAAAGGAUAGGGAGCACCUUAAUUAGACCCAUGCAUGUAACCAUGACAAAAUAUAUACAAACAAGAUUGAUGUGAAGACAUAACUGUUGAUGAGAUGAAACGGAGAACGAAAAGAAAAAGGUUGCCAACUUGACAAAAUGCAGCUAUGUAGAGGCCUUUACGCGGAGAUUGCGUUUAAAGCAAAACGCAGGAGUCAAGUGUUUGGUAAAGAAAAAAUCACUAAUUAUAAUUUAUAAAUCUUAUUAUUUUUUAUGUUUAUAACACAGAAUUGAAAGAAGCAACCAAAGAUUGCUUUCACAUGCGUCCCGCUUGUUUCCGUAAAUAAUUAAAGUUUUCAUUCUCUGCGGGCUCUACAUGGUAAGAAGAGUGUUUGGGGCUGAGUUUGUACCUGUGUUUUGGCAAAUUUUGAAUUUUGUUUUUUAUUAAAAUUGAGUGCAGUUUGUAAUUUUUGAAUCGUUUUGAUGUGUUGAUAUCAAAAAUGAUUUUUAAAAAAUAAAAAAAAAUCAUUGACAUGCUUUUCGACACGAAAAGCUAUUUGAAAAGCAACCGCUAUCACAUUGUAAAAUACGCUCUUAAAACUAACAGAAAAUGCAUGGGUGCCAGACCGGAUAAAAAAUAAUUUAUGCCAAUGCCAAGCCAUCACUGGCUUUCUUCUUAUAAAUGAUGAUUAUGGCCAUGUUUGGAUUAUGGUUAAAUUAUAAUUAUUUUGCUAUUUUUAAAAAUAAAAAUUAAAUUAAAUUGUUAUAUAUUAAUAUCAAAAAUAAAUUUCAUAAAAUAAAAAUAUAUUAUUUUAAAAAAUAAAAAUUAAAUUAAAUUGUUAUAUAUUAAUAUCAAAAAUAAAUUUCAUAAAAUAAAAAUAUAUUAUUUUAAUAUAUUUUAAAACAUAACUACCAACCGAUCCGACCGAGUAAAAUAUAAUUUAUAUUAUUUUAUUUUUUUAAUUUUGUUUUAUUUAAAAAAUUAGUAAUAUUAGUUAAUUACUUAGUACUUGUCGAAUGUAUUUUAUACAUAAAGGAAUUGUAGAUAAUUUAAUGGAACAAUAAAAAAUAUUUUAUAUACAAUAUUAUUUAUUUCAUGAUAUAAUAGCAGUAGUUAAAUUUACAAUAUCUAAAUUAAAAAUCAUCAAUAAUAAUAUAUAUUUUUUUAAAAUUAUUUUAUAAUCUCAAUUUCAAAAGCAUUAUUAAUCAAACACAUUAAAUUACUUUUUAUUCAACCUCAAUUUUAAUCACAGUUUUACCCAAACAUCUAUUUUUUCAAAUCAACCUCAACUAAAAAUAUUUUUUAUAAAAUAAUUUUUUUCAAACUACAAUCACAACAUUUACUACAAUACUAAACACACUUAUAAUAUAUGUCUCCAUCAUCCUCAUCUUACUAUUUUUUUUUUUAACCGAUGACGACCGUAAACCAAAUAAUAAAGGCUUGAGCUUCCUGAGGUGAAUCCAAAAAGCACAGGGAAGCCUACGCCUUGGAUGGAUUGAAAUUAUAUAUAUUCAGCAAAAAUAAUGACAUUGAUUUCGUAGGCUAUGAAACCUCACACACAUCCAGCUGGCCAUCAUAAAAGCAUUCAAAACUUUUCUUCCUAUAAAAAGCUUGUAUAUUUAAAGAGCAUUGAUCACAUCAAAAAAUAAAAACAAAUACUCUUGUUCUUGAAAUUUAAGGCCUUUUCUUUUAUUUAUUAUCCUUUUCAUUUUAAAGUUAUUGAUUUUAUCAUUCGAAAGUCUUUAAAUCUCACCGAUAGAGACUGUUUUUGCAGAUAUUAUAACUUAAUUUUUAACCUUCUAUUUUUCUAAAUAUUUUCAACAAAAAAAAUAAAAAAUAUGUUCUUGAUGUAUUUGCGUUAAUUUCAGCGUUGCCUCAAAAGGAUUCAAAUUUCAAAUUUUCAAUGCGUUCAGCUUUUAACGUGUUAUUUUUAAAAUAGUUGAUUUUUUACAUUGAGUCAGUGUUGAUGUUGCCUUUAAAAAAAAACAAAAUACAAAAAAAUAAAAAUAAAACAUAUUUGGACAAAGAUACCAAAAUGAAAAGGAAGAAACCAAAGGAUUAAAGUGAAUUUAGGUUGCUUGUUAGACUAAGCAAUUAGAAAAGAAGACAACAUUUUUCACCUAUAAAAAAGUGUUUAUCUAAUACAAACAAAAAAGGGGAGGAGGCCAUUACAAAGAAAAACAAAACAAAACAAAAAAAAAUCUUCAGCUCACACACUCACACACUCUCCCAAAAUAGAUACAAAAAAAAACCUUAUACCUAAUAUACUUAAAACCCUAACCGUCAACCACCAAUCACCAAAAAUUAACCUAUGAUUUCCCUUACCCUUACUAUAAGAGAAGAAGCAUACAUGAAAGGCCAUUCAAAACACUAAUGGCCUAUAUCGAUCAAGCCUUUCUCCAUAAGCAGCUAAUAUCCCUUCAUCAAUACUAAUGAAGAACUUUAAUGGCAACCUCCACUAAAAAAAGCCAAACACCGAUAGACCAAAGACCCAUCAUUGUCUCCUAUAAACACAGUUGUACAAGCCUUUUCAUCCUUUUUUUUUUCCAUCAUAUUCAACUUCUCGCUACCUGAAACUUAAUCUCCCUAGCUAAGCUUCAUCUUUCUCCUCAUAUCUAUCGUUAGUAAUGACAGACCUACACCAACAACAAGAGCACCUUUAUAACAACAAUCUUUUCCUAUCCAGCCAACUGAGGACCAACGACCAAUCCCUACCCACAACGCCGACCCCUAUCAUACCUCUCUCCCAUUGUUUAUAGUUAAAGCAACCAGAAAGGGGAAGAAAAAUUAAAAAAACUAACCUGUGAAACAUAUCUAUGAAAAAGAAAAAAAAAACCAAUUGUUUGUGUGUUUUUCUUUACUUUGCAGGUGAUGGUGUAUGACAUUGCCAAUACAGACGUAAAGUAGAGGAGGUGAUCUGUUCGAUCCACCCAUUUUUCGCUUCACCGAUAAUAGCUCGUGGGUUCACGCGCCAUUAAUGGCAGUGGUGCAUGAAGCAGAUACGAACCACUGUUCUGCCACUAUUCGUCUAGCCCCAAAGUCUUUCAAUGUGCUUCCUGAGUUCCCAGCAGUCUCUCCAACCUAUUUCCAACCUUUGAAAGGACCAUUUUGCAAAUUUUAAAUUUUUAGCGUGUUUGAAUUAUUUUUAAUCUUGGAUUUUUAUUAUUUGUAAACAUGUAAUUGUGGAGUGUGUGAAUAAAAUAUAGUAAAAAAAAGUGUUUGUGUUCGUGUUGUGUUUUCUUUUUAUUACCUUUUAUUUUGUGUUAUAUGAAUGAUAAAAAAAAAACGGUGUGUGUUGUGUUUUCUUUUUAUUAUUUUUUAUUUUUGUGUUAUAUGAAUGAUAAAAAAAAACGGAAAUGGAUAAACAAAUUAAUUAAAAAAAUGUUUGAAUUACAUAUGACCAAUAAUCCUAAAAAAUAAUUUGAGCAUUUAUUUUAAAAAUCUAAAAUACUUUUGCAUGGAUUUUACUAUGAGUUUGUAAAAUUCCAAAGAAUUUUGGCAUACAUUUUAAAAAUACCAAAACAAAUUAUUAUUUUUAAUAUAUAAGAUUAUGAAUUUAUACAUAAGACAUAUUCUUGAUAUUAAAUAAAAAAAAACAAUUUAUUUUUAUAUUGGCAUUAGAACAAUUAGGUUUUUAGCCUGAUAAAAUAAUGACCUCCUUAUUGAGGAGAACUUUUCUUCAACCUUAAACUGACAAACAAUUAGAAAAUAAAACUUUUUCUUUGUUUAUAUCAGACAAAUAAACAAUGCAGUUUACUUCAGGUAAAGUGUAUUGGGGUGCUAAUACAUUUUAUUUAUUCAACCAGUCUCAUUUCCCAGACUUUGAGACCAAUUAUGAUUCCUAAUGAUCAAAACAUUAGAUAACAACUCACAUUUCCUUUUUUUACUCAUAAAGGACAAGAUUCCUUGUCCUUCCCUCCCACAUCAUUCCCAACUAUCUUGAUCUAGAAGGAUGAUCAAUGCAAUGUCGCACACGUGCGACAACAGGUACUAAGGCUUUCCCCAAUAAUUUAGUACUUCUAAGCUUAAGAAGAAGAGAAGUAUAUGAACAUGUUGAUUAAUCACUAUCUGAACAUCAAAUAACAUGUUUAUUGAACAUAAUGGAUCUUGAGACACGUUGAUGGCGUUGUUUAUGAGAAACUUCCAAAAAGUCAUUGAUAACUCUUGUUGCUACCCAAUUUUUGACCCAUGUUUUUGAUAUAUUUUCAAAAAAUCCAAAAAUAGAGAAAAACAAAGAAAAUCCAAAAAAAAUAUGUUUUUAAUAUAUUUUCGUCAUUUUAGCAUUUUCAACGUCGUUUAAAUUUUUUUUUAAAAUUUUUAAGGGUCUUUCGAAUGCGUUCGACUUUUCACGCGUCAUUUUCAAAAUAAUUGAUUUUUCGUAUUUGAGUCGACGUUGAUAUUGCUCGUUUUCAAAAAAAUACAAAAAAAACAAGAAAAAUCAAAUUUUACAAAAAAAAGAAAAUUAAGGGACCAAUUUUGAGGCCGAAACAAUAUUUUUGCCUAAGGGAAUUUUGAAUUUUGGAAGGAGGGGCAACCUAAGAAUUUUUUUCUCUUCACCCGAAACUAGCCGUUGCCCCUGGCCCAAGACCAUUAUUUAAUCCCUCUCUUUCGGCUAAAAAUGAUGAGCUCAGCCCCCACCCAGGACUUCUUUUCCUUGUUGGCUCUCCUCACGAGAAAAGCCCCUAUUUCUUCUCAUUCUCAGUUUUGGAAGGCAGGGGAGAUUUGAGCCAUUUUUCGGUCCCGGCAGUAGGGGCAGCACCCACAGUCCCCAGUCCCGUUGGAGAUUUUCUUCUUCUCCCCUGCAGCCGCUCACCAAAAAAGAGCCCCUAGCUCUUUGAUUUUCGCCCCCCCCCUCAGCAGCCGGUUUUCACUACUCCCCUUCUUCACCAUUUAUUUUUUCCAUCUUCUUCCCUUCAACCAGCAAAUCCAAGCCCUGACCCGAAGCCACAAAAAAUAAAAAUCCUCUCCCUUCUCCUCCAAAACCGAACAACCCCCUCACUGUUUUCAUUUUCUUUUCUUCCCCAAACCAGCACCACCCACAACGCCGAUCUUCCUCUCAUCAGCACCGGACCAGCCCCUUCCACCUCUGUCUCUCGUCCCUGACUCUCAACCUCUCCCAAACAGCAGCAAACCGAACCAGCCCCUUCCACCGCUUGCCUCUCCACCGCAGCUCAAGCCCCCCCCAUUUCUCCUUUAAUUUUUCCUCUCUCCGUUCCACGAUCGACUGCCUCUCAGCUGCUCCCUUUGCUCUUCACAGCUCCUGAGCCGGCCACCCUGGCCACAAAAAGAAAAAGCAGCCGCCACCCGAAGACCAGUCUCCGGUGUCCCUCCUGUUCUGCUCCUAGACCGCCGCUGAUCUCCCCACGACUGAAGAACCCAGCUCAGCCCCACGCCGGACAGAGACCAGCGCCGUCCCCUUGAUCUCUUCCACAACAACCCGUCGGCAGCGGAUCCAUCCCAUCGCCACCGAGCUUCAGCGGCCUCGGGCGACCUGCAACCGGCAGAGAACCCCCACAGAGAAGAAGGCGAAACCGAGAGGGGGGCAGAUCCAAAACGACGAAGGAAAAAGAAAAAAACAGAUUUGAAACCAAAGAAAAAUUUAAAAUCUACUGGUUUGUGCGUUGUUUCCCUUGUUGCAGGUGGCGGUGACCUCCACCGCCGGCGUGGGAAGACGGAGGAAGAAGACAUCCCGGACCUCUUUUCUUUUUGGUUUCUCACGCGGCGCGUGAAACCCACGCGCCGCCAGUGGCGGUGGCACGUGGGAGACGCGCCGCCAGUGUUGUUCCGGGGUGCAGAUGGGCUUCAAUGCAAUUCUGGAUUUUUUAGGACCAUUUUGUAAAUUUUAAAAGUGUUUAAUGUAAUUUUUGCUUAUUUAUUUUAAAUUUGUAAUAUGUGAAUGUAAAAGAAAAAAAAAAAAUAAAAAAUAAAUAAUAAAAAGAGAUGUGUGCUUGUUUGUAUUUUUAUUUAUGUUAUUAAAUUGUAAAAAUAAAAGAAGGAUAAAAGAAUUAAUUGUUAAUUAAAUAUGAUUAAAUAUUAAGGAUAAAUAAAAUCAAGUUGUAUUUCCACGAAAAUGUAAGAACAAGUUUUUACAUAUAUUCGGGAUUCAAUAACUGAUUUAUUCAAGCCUUAGAAUUUAAUUAAUAUUUUAAAUUUUCUUAAAUAUGGUUAAAUAUCUCAAGGACAAAUAAAAUCAAGUUGUAUUUUCCAUGAAAAUGUAAGAACAAGUUUUUACAUAUAUUCGGGGAUUUAAUAACUGAUUUAUUCAAGCCUUAGAAUUUAAUUAAUAUUUUAAAUUUUCAAAUCACAUUAUAACACAAUGCAGCUUACCUCAGGUAGGGUGUGUUAGGGGUGCUAAUACCUUCCCUAACCACAACCAGUCCCUUACCCGCGAUCUCUGACAAGACCAGUACAUCAGGUUUCCUAGUAGCCCUCAAUGAAUUACUAGGUGGCGACUCCCACAAACGAAUUCAAAGCAAACGCAACAAACGAUGAAAAAUUGCCAGCCGAUGCCGCGCGCCGAGGAUUUUUUUUGGGGUGCGACAGGAUGGCGACUCCACUGGGGAAGGUAUUGUUUUCAACUUUAUCGGACUAAGCUUUGUGUUUUGAUGUGUUCAAUUUUUUUUUUUGUGCUUUGUUUUAUUUAUUUGUGUUUUAUUCAUGCAUUAUAUAUAUUUCUCUCAUGCAUCACAAGUUUUAAUUUUUGAAAGCACACACCAGCUUUAGGUUAGGUGGGGGACUAGCAGCUUACCUUACGACUUGAGUCAAGGUUAAGUUUGUGUAAACCCAACUCUUUGUUGAGUGCUUAGACUGGUAAUAGUUGGACACGUGCCAACCAAUUACCUACUGGGCCCCUAUAUUGCCUUUACGAAGGCGAUCACUGGGACAACAAGAGACCCUUUUAGAGACCAAGUAGCAAACCUACCCUGUCUCACGUAAAAGAUAGACUGUCUUAGGAUGUAUGUAAAUAUUGUUUUGCAUUGAGCAAACCCUUCUUGAAGCAUCUUGAACUCAAGACUUGUGGGUGACACAUUGGCCGUCACUCCGAAAAUUUUCAUUGUAGAGUUUGGGCAAAAAUCACGAUUCUUGUCCAUCAUACAAGAGUUACGACCAUAUUGUCACCCCUCGAAGGGUGAGUUCGUCAUAUAGAUUACAUGUUCAUACAUUUAUCAUGCAUGUACCGUUGAAAAGUAGGUUCCCCCGCACAAGCUGUGCUGCAAGUGAUUGAAGAAAGGAUGGAAGUGAAGAAAGAUGUCAGAUAGAGGCUCAUUAUCAGUUUGAGUUGAGAGCAUCAAAGGCGAAUAGCUGGACUCAGAUCUGCUCGAACAAGUGUUGAGCAUCAAAUGGAAAGAGAAUGUCUGCACAGUCUUCUGUGGGAACACUACUUGUUCACGUCCAAUUGAAGCUGUAUCUCUCCUUUUCAGUCAUGAACAACAGCAACGACCUUCAGUCAUCAGCUAAUGACAACUCUGAUUCUUGUCUAGUUGCAUUGUUAAGUUUCAUUGCCUCCACAUCAUCUAAUGGAACCAAACGACUACUAGCCUCCUAUACAUGGUGCAUUAGUCUGCUUUAAGUUACCCCGAUUAUGAGCUCAAUUCCAGUUCAGCAGCACAAGAUGGUCUGAAAAACCAUGAUUAAACACUGAACUUCAAUGUGGCAGAGCUCUCUCUACAAAAAUCCAUUUAUGGCUCUGCAAAUUGGAAUGCAAGAGGGGAUUUAUAAGUUGCAUAUGCUACAAAUAUUUCUCUCAUCAGUUUCAGCACGAAGACCUUUUAGUAGGUUGAAGAGCCAGACCUGGUCUGAAAAAUAUGAGCAGACAUCAAACUUCAACGUAGCAGAGCUCUCUCGGCAGGAAUCUGUUUGUGGAUCCGCAAGUGGGAAAUCCAAGAAGGAAUACAGUAGUUUCAGAUCAUCUAUGAUUUUCCUCCAACAAUGUCGGCAUUAAAACUCAAAAGUAGAGAGAAGAGACAUGCCUAGACUGAAAAACAUGAAGAAUACUGAAACUUCAACAGAGCAGGACUUCCUCUAUAGGUGUUUGUUUGCUGCACUGUCAGUAAUCGAAGAGGGGACAAAGGAUUUAGAUUCAUCAGGUGUCUCCCAAUAGAUGAAGGUGAUUCCACACGUCGGUAGGCGAUACUACAAGUUUCUGGGCGCUGCCAAGAUUACCAAGCUGUUGGAAAGUUUUCUAACAAUCCUCAACCAACCACAACAACAUUGAAAUGAUGUUGUGAGGAUUUGCCGAAGAAUUGAGCAAGCUAUGAAGAGAGGAAAGAUUGAAGGAUCUGUCAUGGAUUCCAGAACAAUGAUGAGAGUUAAAUCAGGAGAUGACUUCAACGGUGUGAACCCUUAAUUAUGUGGUACAACCAGGUCUCACGGUAGCGUCAAUUGCUCAAAUGUCUUUGCCAAGAUUGACAUUCCUCUGCCACUUAAGUUUGUCGACUAGCAUCUGCCAGAUUCCAGAAUUUUGCUUGACUCCGACAAAUCCUAUGCAACCACUAAUUUCUAGGUGGUAUAAUCCAGAUAAGAGAUGCGAUGUCAUGGUGGGGUCCUCAAUCAUUUCAAGUGAACAGUUUCAAGAAUUGCAAGAAUUGAGUCUGGAAGUUGAUGAGCAAGAGACAAGUGGAGUCGGUGAAGGAGGGUGUCAUUGGCUAUAUUGUCCCCCGAACAUCUUCAGAAUGACAUGUUGAUCGAAAAUGCUUGGAAAAACGCAAAUAUUGCUAGAAAAGUUGAUUCAAGAAUGGUGAUGAACAGUCAAUCAUAUUGUUUUGGAAUUCUGCAUUUUGUUUUGGGAUCACAUCUCAUCCUUCAACGAAACAUGCCUCGCUUUUGUCUCUUUGUUGUUAUGAAAUCAACAGAUGUUUAACAUUUUUUUUCAGACAAAAUAUUUUGAUCAAACUCCAACAUGCAAUAAAGGCUAAUCAAUCCUGAAGAUUAAAAGUGUUUUGAUUGCAGAAAUGACUCGAUUCUUGUUGAAAUGACAUGAGGUGACUAAACAAAUUUUGAACUCAUACUUCCUAAAACUGAACCACACAUCAUAUAGCUAAGUUUUAGCAGUAUGCAUAAUGACAUGUAGUGGAUUUGGUAGUUAUGGACUCGUGAAUCAUGACUCUUACAAGUCCCAAUCAUUACACUAGAUGAGGUCAAAAUUUAUCGGUUCUAACCGACCUUGCUUGAAAUGAGAAAAGGCCAUCUUUGAUAUCCUGUCACUUUCUAAAAAUUAUCUCCCUUGUAGUCCCAUUUUGAGCUGGAUAGAUCAUUUUUUCAAAAAAACCCUGACUAGGAUCACACCCCACACUGGGGGCAAAUGAGAAAUAUUUUGGAGACAUGAUAAAUCAAUGGAAAGAAAAGCUUAGAACAAAAGUCCAAUGUUUGAGAAAGGGCUAGAAGAAGAAAAUCCAUAGAUUGAGGGCCAUCCAAGAAAAACUUUGAGGAAGGCUAUGCAAAAAAAGGAAAUGAAAGAAAAUGCCUAUCAAUUCUAAGAGAGGCAAGACUAGUUUUCAAUUGAGAAAAGACAAUAAAUGCCAAAAGUCAACACUAGAAAAAUCGAUGCUUCAUAUCUUUUGGUGUGUCUAGGAUAAAGCCUCUAAUGUCUUCAAAUUGUUUUAGAUUGGUUAUUCAUCAAAGAAAAGUUGGAUUUGCAUUAUGACCUAUGUUAAGAGAAUUCUGAUAUUUGAGAUUAACAAGGUUAUAUGUCACUUUCUCUACAAUGACGACAAGAGAAAGAGAAUCGAUGAAUAAUUGAUGUUGAUCCUAGGUCUUUGAAACCCUCAAACACCUUUUGAGCCUUUGAAAUUCUUUUCUUUCAUAGCCAUGAACCAUAGCCUGCAUUACGUGCUUUUAAAAGCCCUUUUUAAUCAAGCAAGCAAUUUGAAUCGAUAAAUGGCGCUCUCAAAACUUGAAGAGCUUUUCCAUAAGGGUCGUGACUUCAUGAAUUAAGCUACUGGUUAUUAUGCAUGCUGAUAAAAUAAAUGCUAAGAAAAGAAACAACCUUUCUUGAUAAAGCCUGAGCAUCUUGUUUUUGAAAUUCAUAAAAAUGUCACCUCAUCACAGACCAUCAAAAGAUAUACCCAAAAUCAGAGUUUAAAGUGGACACAAAGAACCAUGAAAAAGUCAUUUUAAAUCUUACAACGGGUCAUUUCUGUUUUCAAAAUACAAGACAAUCAAAGGACUGCAUUGAAUAGUGUGUUGGGUCUUUGACCAAAGAGUUUGAAUUUCAAAAAAAAUAAUAAUUUCAAAAACUGACAUCUCUCUGAUUUCAUUUCAACAAUUAGACUUGAAUAGACAUGAUCGUUGAAAUGUUGAGAUUUGAUUCCAGAACAAGAAAGAUUUUCAAACAACAUCAAUUGAGUUUGCAAAAUUCUUGACAAAAAUGACAUCAACAUUUCUCGACACUCCUUGAAACGUUGACCACCUGGGGGCAAUACAGUGGACCUUUAAGAAAACAAACAACAUAUCCAGAUCAGCUGGGGGCAAAGAAAGAAUGAUGAUGAGUGUCAAAGUUCAUCAAAGUUAUGUUUAGCAUCUGACAAUGACAAAGAAAAACCUUCUUGAGUAUAAACCGAUGAACGAACCUUCAGAUCAUUGGGGCAAUGUUGUUCAAAGACAAUCCAUGAUCUAGUGCACUUCAGCAGCAAUUGAUGAGCAACGCUGCACUAGAAGGAUAUUUUCAUAUCUUCAUCUUGGUUUAUCAUCUUCAACAUGCUCAAAUGCACACUUCACCGCAUGAAUAUGGUUGAUAACAUGAACAUCAUUGAUGAUGCCAAAGCAGUUAUUUUCACGAUCUGAUUUGACAAGCUAAGAGGAAUCCAUGGAGAAAUACAUCGCGCUUACAAUGAUGAGUUGUUUACUGCAAAGCAUGAGAUCCAUGUCUGGAUGACUUGGCAGUUCCAUGAAGGCUGGUGACCAUAAAUACUUGAAUAGUGUUUCAAUUAGAGGCAAGUUCAUGACUGAUUAACAAUCUUGAUGGGUGUUGGCAUGAUGCACACAAUCAAUCAAACGAUAAUCCUCAGAAGAAUCCAAGAGAGAAAAUUCUUCAUGAUGAAUCAAGCAACACCACACUUGGGAGCAUUGUCAAGCUUGAUGAGCGAUACAAGCAGUAAUUGUCAAAGACAGCCCGGGAUGGGCAUUGCAUUUACAGCUAAGUGGAUGGCUAGCACAUGAAUGAGCCAAUGCAUCGAAAGAACAAAGAAAACUUUGGGAUGCAAACAAGGGAACCCUAUGACGAUGGAGCAUCAAGGAGGGGGGGGACCUAUAUUUCGAAUCAGGUAAGGAUGCAUGCAUAUCAUCUAACCUCAAAAAAAAAAAAAAAACCAUUUGCACAUAUUUUUGAAUUGUUACAGGAAAAUCCUUAAUGAGGUCCAGUAAAAUGGUGGAAAAAGAAAGAAGCAUGGUGGUGAUGAUAACAAAGAAUCGGUUUUGAUCAUGGAAUAAAAGGACGAUGGGAUGAACCUUACCAUUAGGAAAAUCCCAAAGAAAUGAAAAGAUCAACCUUGCAAUCGGGAAGCCUCGAGUUUUCAACCCUUGCAGUCAGGAAACACCGAGUUUUCAAACCUUAUGAUCGGGAAUUAUCAGGAAGCACCAAGUUUUCCAGCCCUUCUUCUGUCAUCCCUUCAGGACUUCGCCAGGUAAGUCCUAUUUUUCACACUUGGCACUUCACAUUCUUUCUAUUUGGGUAGGUCACCCAUCACAACGAGACCACUUCAUCAUAUUUUUUCCAUCUGGGUAGGUCACCCAUUACAAUGAGACCACACUUCACAUUUUUUCCAUCUUGGGUAGGUCACCCAUCACAAUGAGACCAUCAUCUUUUCUGGGUAGGUCACCCAAAGAAUGAGACCAUUCUCCAUUUUUUUUUUACCUGGGUAGGUCACCCAUAAGAAUGAGGCCAUUCCUUCCCCUGGGUAGGUCACCCAAAGAAUGAGACCACUCUUUCCCCUUUCCACUUGGGUAGGUCACCCAUCACAAUGAGACCACCAUUUUUUCUGGGUAGGUCACCCAUUACAAUGAGACCAUUCUCCAUUUUUUUUUUACCUGGGUAGGUCACCCAUAAGAAUGAGGCCAUUCUUCCCCCUGGGUAGGUCACCCAAAGAAUGAGACCACUCUUCCUCCUUUCCAUUGGGGUUCGUCACCCAUACAAUGAGACCAUCAUUUUUCUGGGGUUCGUCACCCAUACAAUGAGACCAUCAUUUUUCUGGGGUUCGUCACCCAUACAAUGAGACCAUUUUUCACACAUUCUUUUGUUUUGGUUAAAUGAGGUCGCCAGAUGGGAUCUCAGGUAGCUUUGGUUAAAGGGAAUCGCUAGAUGGGAUUUCAGGUUAACCGAGUUACACAAUAUUUUGUUCAGUUGAAUGAGGUCGCCAGAUGGGAUCUCAUGAGCUUUGUUAAAGGGAAUCUCCAUUGGGGUUUCAGGAUGACCGAGCUACACGCAUUCUUUGGUUUUUAAAUCGCCAGAUGGGAUCUCAGGUUAACAAAAAUAUAUUGAGCAAACAGAAAGACAAGUUUUUCUUUACAAACUUACUAUGCAAACAUCGAGGAUUUUUGCUUCGUAAGCAUUGUAAAGAGGGGCAUCUGUUGCUACCCAAUUUUUGACCCAGUUUUUGAUAUAUUUUCAAAAAAUCCAAAAAUAGAGAAAAACAAAGAAAUCCAAAAAAAAAUGUUUUUAAUAUAUUUUCGUCAUUUUAGCAUUUUCAACGGUUUAAAUUUUUUUAAAAUUUUUAAGGUCUUUCGAAUGCGUUCGACUUUUCACGCGUCAUUUUCAAAAUAAUUGAUUUUUCGUAUUUGAGUCGACGUUGAUAUUGCUUUUCAAAAAAAAUAAAAUAAUUUACAAAAAAUCAAAUUUUACAAAAAAAAGAAAAUUAAGGGACCAAUUUUGAGGCCGAAACAAUAUUUUUGCCUAAGGGAAUUUUGAAUUUUGGAAGGAGGGGCAACCUAAGAAUUUUUUUCUCUUCACCCGAAACUAGCCGUUGCCCCUGGCCCAAGACCAUUAUUUAAUCCCUCUCUUUCGGCUAAAAAUGAUGAGCUCAGCCCCCACCCAGGACUUCUUUUCCUUGUUGGCUCUCCUCACGAGAAAAGCCCCUAUUUCUUCUCAUUCUCAGUUUUGGAAGGCAGGGGAGAUUUGAGCCAUUUUUCGGGUCCCGGCAGUAGGGGGCAGCACCCACAGUCCCCAGUCCCGUUGGAGAUUUUCUUCUUCUCCCCUGCAGCCGCUCACCAAAAAGAGCCCCUUAGCUCUUUGAUUUUCGCCCCCCCCCUCAGCAGCCGGUUUUCACUACUCCCCUUCUUCACCAUUUUUAUUUUUUUCCAUCUUCUUCCCCUUCAACCAGCAAAUCCAAGCCCUGACCCGAAGCCACAAAAAAUAAAAAUCCUCUCCCUUCUCCUCCAAAACCGAACAACCCCCUCACUGUUUUCAUUUUUCUUUUCUUCCCCAAACCAGCACCACCCACAACGCCGAUCUUCCUCUCAUCAGCACCGGACCAGCCCCUUCCACCUCUGUCUCUCGUCCCUGACUCUCAACCUCUCCCAAACAGCAGCAAACCGAACCAGCCCCUUCCACCGCUGCCUCUCCACCGCAGCUCAAGCCCCCCCCCAUUUCUCCUUUAAUUUUUCCUCUUCUCCGUUCCACCGAUCGACUGCCUCUCAGCUGCUCCCUUUGCUCUUCACAGCUCCUGAGCCGGCCACCCUUGGCCACAAAAAGAAAAAGCAGCCGCCACCCGAAGACCAGUCUCCGGUGUCCCUCCUGUUCUGCUCCUAGACCGCCGCUGAUCUCCCCACGACUGAAGAACCCAGCUCAGCCCCACGCCGGACAGAGACCAGCGCCGUCCCCCUUGAUCUCUUCCACAACAACCCGGUCGGCAGCGGAUCCAUCCCAUCGCCACCGUAGCUUCAGCGGCCUCGGGCGACCUGCAACCGGCAGAGAACCCCCACAGAGAAGAAGGCGAAACCGAGAGGGGGGCAGAUCCAAAACGACGAAGGAAGAAAGAACCAAAAACAGAUUUGAAACCAAAGAAAAAUUUAAAAUCUACUGCUGUUUGUGCGUUGUUUCCCUUGUUGCAGGUGGCGGUGACCUCCACCGCCGGCGUGGGAAGACGGAGGAGAAGAAGACAUCCCGGACCUCUUUUCUUUUUUUGGUUUCUCACGGCGGCGCGUGAACCCACGCGCCGCCAGUGGCGGUGGCACGUGGGGAGACGCGCCGCCAGUGUUGUUCCGGGGUGCAGAUGGGCUUCAAUGCAAUUCUGGAGUUUUUAGGGACCA